UCAAGCGCUUCUUUCUAUCUAUAUAUAUACACUAUCUAAAUUGUUUGCAACGGCAUUAUGCACAUGAGGCAGGACUAUACAAGUGAAUUGUCACAGUAAGGUCCUUCCAUGGAUUUCAUGUGGCUCCUUGAGUUGUAAGAUGCAGCUCCAACAUUGAAUAUAUUUUGAAUGUUUCCAAAGAUACUCUCUGUUACAUUUACUUCAAUAUAUACAUGCAUGUUACUGAUAGAAGCUGGCUGCAGGAAUCCGUAUACAUAUAUAAUCUCUUGUAUAGUACAUUGCUAGAUCACUCACUAGGCAUUAUGUAAUACUACUAGGAGAUAUGGGUGAGGGACUAAAAGGAUGAUAUGCUUCCAUGAAUUUAUUUGUAAGAAGUUUUUCUUGGCUAUGUACAAAUAAGCCCAAAUGAAUUUAUGUUCUUUUUUACUUCCAGAGUUACAGUGCACUCAUAGUGUCAUCACAUUGCGUGUUCUUGCUGCAUAUACCUCUCUAUUUGCUUAGGCAGACAACUACUUAUGUAAUAUGCAAACAACAGCAACAGAGCUAGUGAUGCUAAUUCUACCUCCUGUUACAGAAUCAGAAUUCCUCUUGUUGCACAGGACAACUCCGUUUCCUCUUGUUAUAUAAUCAGAAUUCCUCUGCUUCUUAUGCUACUCUGCUAGAACUAUGCUUUUCUACUUGUCAUAUUGAAUAUACAUGUUCUAAACAUUAUACAGUACUUUCGUUGUUAACUCCAAACAACUUGGUACCUUCUCUUCUGCAUGCAGAAACUAGCUUACCAGUACACCGCCAAGGGGGCAUGCCUUGCCCUGGUAGCAAAGAGGAGUGGAGCCUGUGGCAGGCCGCCAACCGCGCCUUCGAGCUCGGCGCGGCGAACGUGAUCAUUCUCCCCGGGGACGUCGCAUACCCCGACGACUACAAUAGAUUUGUUCAGGCCACAAUCGACCACUACGGCCAAUGUAAGUCAGCCCCUCUCCGUUACAACUAACCUGGUUUAACAUAUUUCUUCCACAAGCAGUCAUUCAUUUGGGUGUAAGAUAGUUGACAUUUACACUUGCAUAUGUUUAUCAGAAUAUUGAUACUUUGCAUGCUAUGAGUAAAAUGCUCUAUUUUCUUUCGUCACCUUCUUGUAUGAAUGAUUAUCUCAUUUUAACUUGCUGGAGAAUGAAAGCAUUGUACUAGCUGAAUUUGUCUUAUCAUUCUAAAGAACUUGUUUGUUUUUUGAUUGGUUUGUUCAUAAUAUAUUGGCCCCAAAAGUUUUGAUUCUUCUCUUCUGGUUCAUGUAACAGGGCGACCACGGAAGGCAUGAUGAUAGUUCAUAUUGUCAUUCUGUUAGUCCAGUGUAAUGAAGGUCAUGGCCUAGUCAAGUAUGGUUUCCCAUUGAGUCGUGCAUAUGUUUCAUAUGAUUGGAGCAGGGGCCCAGUUUGUGCCAAUUGUCACUGCAUAUGUUUAACAGUGAUUCUACUUGUAUAUGUGUUAUUACACUAGUAGAAUUUGUACCUAUGCGAUGACUGGAGCAGGAUCCCAAUAUUUGUAGAGAUUGUAACAUUGAUUGUCACUGUAUACAGAUUGAUUCUGGUUGCUGUUACUUGAAGUAUUCCUUCUGUUUUAUGUCUGUUGAUUUAAAUGUUGAUUAUUUAUUUACUGUCAAAUCAAAAUCAGAAGAAAAAUGCAUUGAAAAAAGGGGCCCACUCCAAUGGGACCCAUCUAACUAGAGGAUUUUUUUGAAAGAAUAAAAAUAAAACUGUCUAGCCGAAAAGGCCAUGGCCCAAAAAUGAGAAGGCUUAAUUUUUGGGCUUGGCCCAUCUACCUGACCAAAAUUAAUAUGAGAAAAAACAAAUAGGCUGAAUUGUUGGGCUUGGCCCAUGUAAAACACCGAAUCGGACCGGGCUGAUUCUUGUGCCACAUCAGCUUGCCACGCUGGAUGCCUACGUGGUCUGGGGAGGUUGCUAGUGACCAAAAAUUUGGUCAUGGAACCAACGACCUUUUACAUAUCACAAAGAAGGUCACUAAUUUCAGUUUAAGACCGCUAGCUUUUGACCUUCUGUUUUUGGUCACAAAAAGGUCGCAAAUGAAAAACUAUGACCUUUCAACGGCCAAUAGUGAGGGUCACAAGUUGACAUAUUUCUUGUAGUGUGGUUCUAGACUCUGCGGCGGCUGGAAUUGAUUUUCGUCAACUCCCCUAGGGUUUCUAGAAUAUUGGGGUAUUUACAAAGCAAAGAGUCGGUUUGGGAGGCACCCAAGGUUGUGCUCCCCUCGGAGCACCCCCCAGGCGCUUCUCCGACCCACUGGAUGUCUUAUGGUCCAAAUAUCCACAAAAAGUUUCACUGUGUUUGGACUCCGUUUGGUAUUGAUUUCCUGCGAUGUAAAAAACAUGCAGAAAAAAGCAACUGGCACUUGGCACUAUGUCAAUAGGUUAGUACCAAAAAUGAUAUAAAAUUACUUUUAAAUGGUUAUAAAACAUCCAAGAAUGAUAAUAUAACAUCAUGGAACAAUAAAAAAUUAUAGAUACAUUGGAGACGUAUCAGCAUGCCCAACAUUAAUUCCUGCUCGUCCUCGAGUAGGUAAAUGAUAAAAACAGAAUUUUUGAUGUGGAAUGCUGCCUAACAUGUCAUCUCAUAUUAUUUUCUUUGUAGCAUGGACAUUUAGACUUUUAUAUUUUUCAAAUCAAUAGUCUAGUUUUGACAUGAGACUUAAAUACUCAAGCAUAUCAACAAGCAACCAUGUCUUUCAAAAUAUCAAUGCUAAAAUAAGUUAUCCCUAGUCCAUCCUGCUCAAUCAUUGAUCCAUUCAUGAAACACACUCGCAUAUUAGCUACACCCAAUGCUCAAGUACGAUCAUAGUGCCCCCUAGUUGGUGCUUUAUAAGAGAAGAUGGAGACUCAAAUUAAAAAUAAAAAUAGCAUAAAGUAAAAUAAAGGCCCUUCCCAGAGGGAAGUAGGUAGAGGUGCCAGAGCUCAAAGUGAAAAUUGAGAGAUAAAAACAUUUUGAGAGGCAUACUUUUCCCACCAACAAAAACGACUUAGAGCUCCCAACCCUUUCCAUGCUAGAUAUAUCAUAGGCGGUUCCCAAAUAGAAAAUAAAGUUUAUUCUUUUUCAACCAUACUUUCACUUUCCAUGGCUAACCGUAUCUACAGGUGCCUUCCAUAACAACACUUUUUAGGGAAUUUAUUAUUGGAAAACAUAUAGUAAAUUCAUGUUUCAUUUUGGGACUGGGCAUCCCUAAUACCUUUGCCUUACUGUCGUGCAAUGACAAGUGAAUAAACAUUCAUCGUGAGAAUAACACAUCUAGCAUGGAAAAUAUUGGCCACCCAUCACCGCCUCGCGAGCGGUACGAGCACACAAAAGAGAAAUUUAUUUUGAAAAUUAGAGAUGGCACAUACAAAUUUCCUUAGAAUGACAAAAGAGUACCUUAUAUAGGUAUAUAUAGUGAACUCAUGUGGAAAAACUGGUUUAAAGGAUUUUGGAUGCACAAGUAGUGAUCAUACUUAGUGCAAAAUGAAGGCUAGCAAAAGAUUGAGAAGCGACCAACCAAGAAACAAAUAAUCUCAUAAGCGAACAUUAAGCAUAAUUAACACCGAAUAAUGCACCACAAGUAGGAUCUAAUUUCAUUGCAUAACUAUUGACUUUUGUGCUUGCAUAGGGAAUCACAAACCUUAACACCAAUAUUCUUACUAAAGCAUAAUUACUCAUCAACAUGACUCAUAUAUCACAUCAUCAUAUCUCAAAACUAUUACUAACAAUCAAGUUUAUUUUGUCCAAUGAUCUUAAUAAAAGUUUUUAUUAUAUCCUUCUUGGAUGUCUACCACUUUGGAACUGAUUUUCAUGUGUUGCUUUUGAUAAGCUCAAACAAAUAUAAGUGAAGAUCACGAGCAUAAUUUUUUUCUUUCUCUCAAAUUAAUUUAAGUGAAUCAAGAGAGAAUUUCUUGAAAAUGUCACUAACUCUCAAUUAAAUAUAAGUGGAGCAAGAGAGCAUUUCUUCAAAAAUACUAAAGCACACCGUGAUAAAAAAGAUAUAAGUGAAGCAUUAGAGCAAAUCCAUAGCUCAUAAAAAUUUAAGUGAAGCAUAGAGAGCAAUUCUAACAAGUCAUGGCAUAAUUUUGGUUCUCUCAAACAAGUGUGUCUAGCAAGGAUUCACGACUUAAAACACCAAGAAAAACAAGCAAAGACUCAAAUCAUACAAGACGCUCCAAGCAAAACACAUAGUAUGUGACAAAUAAAAAUAUAGCUUCUAGUAAAAUACCGAUGGUCGUUAUAAGAAAGACGGGAUGCCACACGGGGCAUCCCCAAGCUUAGUUGCUUGCUUCUCUUUGGCUAAUAGCUUGGGAUGCCAUGGUCAUCCCCAAGCUUAGGCUCUUCUUACUCCUUAUUCCUUCAUGCAUCGUAACAUCACCCAAAACUUGAAAACUUCAAUCACACAAAACUCAACAAAACCUUCGUGAGAUCCGUUAGUAUAAGAAAGCAAAUCACUACUAUAAGUACUGUUGCAACCCAUUCAUAUUUUAUUCUUGCAUUAUAUCUACUAUAUUCCAACUUUUCUAUGGCAAAAACUCUUCAAAUAAAACCAUAGAAUCAUCAAAACAAGCACACAACGCAAAGAAAACAGAAUCUAUCAAAAACAGAACGGUCUGUAGUAAUCUGGAUAUCUCAAAUACUUCUGUAACUCCAAAAAUCCUGAAACAUUAGGACAACCUAAGCAAUUUGUAUAUUAAUCUACUGAAAGAAGAAUUGGCAUUUUAUCAUGCUCUGGAUAAAAAUGAAAAUUAUUUUCAUGAGCGUGAAAGUUUCUAUUUUUCGGCAAGAUCAAACAACUAUCACCCAAGAAGAUCUAAAGGCUUUACGUGGCACAAACACUAAUUAAAACACACAAAACACAAUCAUAACAGUGGCAUAAUUGUGCAAACACUCAAGAACAGAAAGCAAAAAGCAAAAAUAAAAUUUAUUCAUUGGGUAGCCUCCCAACAAGCGCUAUUGUUUCACGCCCCCUAGCUAGGCAUAAGGCAGAGGAUCUAAGUUUUGUCAUCCUUCUCCAACUCUUUAAUCAAACACUUAGAAUUCUUCAAAAAUUUAGCAUAAAGUUUUUCAAUGACAAUACUCCUAGGAAAAAAAUUAAAGAAUUCAUUUUUUCCCAAGGGAUCUCUUAUAACUUCAACAAAAUCAGGGUGAAUACCAAUCAUCUUAAGAUCCUCUUUAUUGUUAUUACUAGAAGUUGCACCCCUAUUCUUAGUAACUUGAGUAGUCUUGCCAAUCUUUACGGCAGUUUUUUCAAUAGUUUUUGCAGAAGCAAAAUUUGUGCUUAAAUUACUAAAGAUUUCUUCCAUUUUAUCAAUCCGGGACGGGCUUUCUUCAAUUCGUUCAUGAAUUAUGGUCCCCUUUUCUUUUAACAACUUAAAAACUUCUCCCGCUUUUGACCCAAUCUUAGUAGAAAAAUUAUGCAUCUUUUUAUCUAAGUUUUCAAUAUGCUCUUCAGUAAGCAUUUUCUUUUCAAUAUCAUCUAAUCUUUCCAUGACAUGCUCAAGAGUCAAAGUUGUUUUAUUAAUCAUAAGAGGUGGUGAGCCUACCAAAUUUCCCAUAGCAUUAAAACCAUCAAGAAAGGGACACAUCAAGAAAUUUCCAUCGGUAAUCAUAUCAAGGACGAAUCAAUACCAAGUGGUGAUGCCUACAUAAAAACAACAAAGAAGAACAACGGUAGAUUGCUUACAGAUAGAUCUAUUAUGUGCAUUGCAAAUUCUAUACCAAGCAUCUUUUAAAUUUUCUCCUCCCCUUUGUUUAAAGUUGAGAACCUCGUUCUCGGGGGUGCAUGCAAUAGAGGAAGAACUAUCCAUAAUGACAAUAAUGGCAAACAAGAUUGCACACAAAAACAGAUCCGGCAAGAAAACGACGAACGAAAAAGAGGGCGAAUAAAACGGCAAAUUUUUGUGAAGUGGGGGUGUUGGGGAUAUAGCUAUCAGCUAUGACCCGCCCAGGAGGGGCCGGGUCAGCCCCAAUGGCGGGUCACAAAGGAAGCCUAAUAAACAUUCACGAUGAUAGUUUAUUAAAGAUUAUAAAAGGCCUAAGGCCAAGAGGCGGCUUAAGGCCCAAUAUUGUAAACCGCCGUAUGUAAGGAAAGGCUUGUAAAGAAAGUCAUGUAAAAGAAGUCACUGAGCCGGACACGUUUUAUGAGCCAGCCGGGACUCUGUAGGCCACCAGGCGUCAACCCGUGUAUAUAAGGGGACGACCCAGUGGCGGCUUAGGGCAAGAAACAAGAGAUCGAUAACCAAGCCGGCGAACUAGCCUCUUGGUGAUCGAAACCCCAGCAAUAUCAACACAACUAGACAUAGGCUUUUACCUUCAUCGUAAGGGGCUAAACUAGUAUAAAACCUCUGUCGGGGAAGCUGAUCCACCAACACCUAUGGGGACCGGGCCCCUUUCGGUUCGGAGGGGGGCGGAGGCCGCACAAAGAGCGGAUCGAGGCGGUACACGCGGGCAGUUUUUACCCAGCUUCGGGCCGCACGGAUGCAUAAAACCCUACCGCUGCUUGUUUGUGUGUAUUGAAUUCUUGCUCAGGAGCGAUGGACGCUGCCAGACCGAGCGUGAGAGUGUUCCUGAUGUUUUGAAUGAGCCGAACCCCCUCUACGUUGCGCUUGGGCCUCCUUUUAUACUCUCAAGGGGUCACCGACAGGUGGCAACAUAGACGAGAGGGGUAGAAAUGGAAAAAGAAUGCGGUAGCUGCACCUACCGCUACUAUAGACACAGUGUAUCCUACCUAACUCUGACGGCAGGGGACAGGGGCAUUGAAUGCCUGUCUGAGUUGCCUAAACAGUGCAAAAAGUGACCGUUAGGAGCGCCACCAUUUGCCACGAUGGCCUUCUCUUCAUCUCCGCUUGCCACCGCGUACCCCUAGCUGCGCGGCCUCCUGCCACGUGUGCUUGGGAGAGUCCUAGAGCGACACGUUAGCAGGUGUGCUGGAGCGCGGGCACGAAGUGGGGGUUUCCCGCGGCAAGCUCCUUGCCACGGUCAUCGUCUUGUCGUGUUUGGGAGCUUGUUGCUCACCGGGCCUUGCCGGGACGCAGGGCGCGUCGCGGCAAGCUUUCUUGGUAUGCCUUGAGUGGCCUUCUUGGCAAGCUCCUCUUGCCGGGGUCUUGUCUCUUCCGGCAAGAUCCUCUUGCCGGGGCCUGGGUUGGCCUUCCCGGCAAGCUCCUCUUGCCGGGGCCUUGGUUGGACUUCCCGGCAAGCUCCUCUUGCCGGGGCCUUGGUUUGAGUACUUUUUUCUUGAAUGGUCUUCAAGGGAACCACGGAGGGUCUUGGCGGUCACCCGGCAAGCCUUGCCGCGGGAUGCUGCGACCGCCCAUGCACAAGUUCGGGGUACUAGGGUACCCCUACUCUAGUACACCGACAGGAGCCCCCGGGCCUGGGCCAGACACGGUGCCGAACGCUGUUGGGCCAGGCCCAAAACAGGGCACGGGCACGCGCGGAGCCUGGGUUAUGCCGAAUCUAACUCCGUAUCCACCGCGCCCCCCCGUAACGGCACGCGCCAAUCGCGGGGUCGUGGGAGAGAUCGUGGGUGGUUGUUUAUUUGGAAGGCCGAAAUGUCCGCCCCGUCCCUCUUUAUAAGCAGGGGAAACAGGGGCAUUUCCCCCACCUUCGCCCUUCGCUGCUGCAAUCUCAGAAAUCUCCGCCGCCCUCCUCCGCUUCCAAAGUCGAAAGAGAGCAGCGCUCCGCUUCCAUCGCUGCCGCCACUACCAGCGCCGUCGAUCUCCCCCACCGCGCCAUGGCUCCGAAGCCCGGAAAGGGGAAGGCCGCGAAAGCUGUGAAGUCGACCGAAGCGCAGCGGCUUGAGGCGCUGCGGAAAGAGCGGGCCACCUUCCUCCCCGAGCUCUCCGCAAAGGAUCUUAGGGAGUGGUACUAUCUCUUCUGGUCGACGGAGACACGGGCGCAUCCGCACACAAAGGUACUCUCCGCCAUCACCUCGCAAGAAGCUCCAGUUGGCGGGUACCCUUUCUUUGCCGUGUUCUUCUACUGCGGGCUCUGCCCGCCAUUCUUUGAUUUCUUCUGUGAUAUCAUGAACACCUACGGGCUCCACCUCCUUGAUUUUACCCCCAACACCGUCUUGACCAUGGCAGUUUUCGCCCAUCUAUGCGAAAACUUUGUCGGAGUCCACCCCAACGUAGCUCUCUUCCGCCAUUUCUUCAUGCCCCGUGUCGAGAGAGGGGAAACCCUUGCCGGGGGGAUCGCCUGGAUCUCGCGAGCCGGCAAGAAGGAGACCUAUCUGGAGGGGGAGCUCCGCAGCAAGUGGGAUGAGUGGAGAGCAAACUGGUGCUGGGUUGUAGAGGAGAACCCGCAGCCAUUCACUGCCCUGCGCCAAGCCCCAGCAGUGCGAGGCAAUGAUUGGAGCGCUCUGUCCGCGGAUGAUGACAAGUUGAAGAUCGCCACCACCCGGAUCUUGCGCCUCAGGCUUGCCGGGUUGACUGUAGGAGCUGUCGGCGCAGAUUUCCUCUGCCGCCGCAUCGCCCCCCUGCAGGCAAGGGGGAGACCCGCCUGGGAAUUUGGAGGCCCGGCAGACAUCAUGAGGUUGCGCCCAGGCCUCAACUUCAAUUUCACCGUCAUAGAAUUGGACGGGAUACUUAAGGAAAUAUUCAAGCACGACCCGCAGCAUCCCGAGUGGUUCAGGUUGCCGGCAGGCGUCGUGCCUCUCUGUAACAACUCCUCGCGCAACCGCAUCUGCGCAAUGAUGCCGUUGUGUGACUCGCACGGGAUUGCUCCAACUUGGCAAGAGCCCGCCGGCGAUGUCGUGCAGCAGUUCUUCGACAGCCUUGUGGAGGUCGCGGUCAAUGCUGACGAGAAGAAACUCCUCACCCGCGACACCACUGAUCAAGAGAUGGAGUGCAUCGCCACCAGGGCGGAAGAGGCGGCGGCAGCCGCGACCGCGGGUGAAUUCGGGUUCACCGUGGAGGAGGCGGACGCGGCGUUGGCGAUGAGUGUUGCCGAAUGGGAGCAGCCCGAAGAGGAAGAAGAGCUCGCCGCGCCCGACGCCGAGUCGAACGAGCCCGCCGAGGGUGCGAGCGGCCCGCCAUCUCCGAGGAGCUUGCCGCGAGCAGGGCCCGCAGUGCAGCCCCCAGCGCAGCCAAGAAGGCGCCUCCGCAGGGUUGGCGACAUAGCAGGGCGGCAAGUGGGCCAACAGCCGCAGCGUCGCGCGACGCACUCUACCGCGGCAAGUACGGUUGCCGCGGGAGCGCCUCCCGCCGUAGCGACAACUGAAGCGGGGCCGUCUCGGGCUGGCACUGCAGCCCUCGCCAAGCGGUCAAGGGAUCCCACCCCUCCACCUCGUUGCGCUGGAAGUGGGCCGAACUUCGACCUCUCCGCGCUCAGCUCCGACGAGGAGGAAGAAGAAGAAGAGUAAGAUUCCCUUGCUUGUUCUUGUAGUUCUUCAACUUGCUGAUCUUGUCUUGCAUCGGAUCUGAUCCACCCUGGACUCUCCCUUUUUAGGACUCUGGCCCAGAGGGCGGCGAAGAGGGCCAAGGCUCAGGUGGUGGUCAUCGAGGACGAGCCCACUGCGACGACAGGAGGCGCGCCCGAAACCACCUUGCCGGAUCCGGCCAUCACUUCGCAGAGCAGCCCCCAGCGCAGCCCCCAGCGUAAGCAUAUGGUUUACUUUCUGCUUCUGGGUGCGCGUGGUUGCUCUUUUUCUUUGUUGACAUCUGAUCACUGGUUUGUUUGUGCAGGAGCAGAACAGCUUCAUCAGGAGGGCGUGGUGAUCUCCUCCGACUCGUCGUCUGCUUCGACUACGCCGCCAAGGGCGGACUCCCCGGCAAGGGAGCAUUCUCCGGUAAGGGAGGAGCCUCCGGCAAGGGAGGAGUCUCCGGCAAGGGACAGCGCUAACGAUCCGCCGGUGGUGGAGCUUAUGACAGCGGAUCCCAGCACAGGUAAUCCUUCCUGCCCGAAACUUUCUUUGUAUUCUUCUGCUGAUUUUUCUUCUUGAGUGCUUGUUUGACUUUCAUUCUUCUCCGGUCGUCAGACCCACCCUCCGCGGAUCCGAUGGAGACCGAGGCGGGCAGUGAGGAGGACGCGCGCGGCAAUACUGAUGAUGCUGCGGCCACCGAAGAAGGAGCCGGCGCUGACGUGCCCGCCGGCGAAGAGGCCGCCAAGGCUGCCGCCGAGGAAGCUGGCGGGGGAUCUGGCGAUUGCACUGACGGCCCUGAGGCCGCAGGAGCGUCAGGCGCUGUACCGACCGCCGAUCCCUCCGCCGCUGCCGCAGCGUCAGGCUCCAAGGAGCCCCAGCCCGGCGCCUAUCUGAAGGCUGGCGAGGGCAUCUGCAUCAAGCUCCCCUGGGCGUCGAGCUCCAGGGCGCCGAUGGAAGGAGAAGCUCUGGAUGGGGGGUGCUUGCCUCCGCCGGGUUGUCGAUCAUCGACGCGCCGGGAAGCAGCAGCGGCGAGCCUGAGGAGGAGAGGCUGCUGCGGAGGCUGCUGGUGCUCUACCGCGCCCGCCAAGUCAAGUUGGAGUCCCGGGAAGCGCUUGUCGCGAGGGCGAGCGUGGACAUAGAGAAGCGUGCGGAGGAGCUCCGGGGUCUUCGCCAAGAAACUCUCCGGGCCUUGGCGGAGGAGCGGGAGCAGCUUGCUGAGGAGCGGAAGGCCUUCCUCCUUGAGAAGGCUGAGGCUGAAGAGCAGCAGCGGCUCACCGGCGAGAAGCUGUACGCGCGAGAAGGCGAGCUGACUCAGCGGAAAGUGAACCUCGACAGCCAUGAAGAGGAGCUUGCCGCGCGCGAAUGGGCACUUGGCGGGACGCUCCAAGAGGCAAAGGAUGCGGCUGCGGCUGCCGAGGCCGCCAAGAAAGAAUUGGAGGCAAAGGUGGCGCAGCUAGAAGCUGAUCUGAAGGUUGGUGGCGAAGAGCUUGCCGCGCUCAAGCUAGAGCGCGAGAAGGACGCCCUUGCCCACGGUGAGCUGCAGGGCCGACUCGCCGAGAGGGGCAAGGAACUGAGCGCCGCCAAGGAUUCCAACGCAGAUCUGACGCUGAAGCUGGCCACCUUGACGAAGACGUUGGACAGCGCCAGGAAACGGGAGGCAGACUUGAAGAAGGACAUCCAGGCCAACGAGGCGCUGCUAGCAAGGGCCGCCGAAACCCAGAAUCUUCUCAGAGAUACCGUGGCGCUCUGGACGGAGGGCCUCGUGAACGUUGCUGCAGUCAUCGAAGAGGAGCUGGUGCAAUUGGGGGUGGAAGGCUUCGGGUACUCCUCCGACAAGAACCUCCAACCCAGCGCCAAGCUCACUCUGUUCUUCAAAGGCGUGGCGGUGGCGCUCCAGCAACUCCGGGAACGGAUCCCAAAGCAGUUGGGCGACGAGUCACGCUCGAUUUGUGCCGGAGUUCUGGAGAAGGUGCUGGUGAAGGUGGCCUUCCGCAAUCCGGGCCUCAACCUCACCAACGUCCUCAGGAGGCUGCCGACGGACGCUGAUCUUGACGCACUUAAGGCCCUCGUCGCACCCAUUGUGGACAGGGUGAACGAGGUCAAAAGGGUUGACGGCGAUCGCGUAGAUUAGGCCGUCCGUUUUCUUGUUUUCUUGUCGCUGCCAGUCAUGUCAUGGGAACACUUUAUUAGAGGCGCGACAAGUUAUUUUUGUAAUAUAACUCUAUCUUAGGCAAAAAAAUGUUGUGUUACUUCCUUUACUCGACUCUUGGCUUUGUAUGCUUCUGCCCUACGCUUUCUAGGGAAACUUGCCGGCGCAGGCACCCUUGCCGCGAGCGCCGAGUGCGGAACUUCAGCAGCAUGCUGGCGAGGUCGCUACCGACAAGCAACCUUGUCGCAACUAGUUGCAGCUCACUUAAGUUGUUGAGUGGACCCGAAACAAAGUAAGGGCGCUAGCAGCUCACUUAAGUUGCUGAGCGGACUCGAAGCAAAGUAAGGGCGCUAGCAGCUCACUUAAGUUGUUGAGCGGACUCGAAACAAAGUAAAGGCGCAACUAGCUACGAGUUGGUUCCUCCGCGCACAGGUUUUCCAUACAAAGCACGGUCGUUCAAGGAAAAUAACUCAAAAACUUAAAAAACUGAUUGCUCGAACUUUAGCAACUUAGCUUUUCUGUCAUCUGCUACCCGGCAAGGAGAAACUUUCUUGAACGGCCUGGUCCACACCAUUAUCUUCUCCUCCCCCCCCCCCGGUAAACCUUGUGGGCAAGGGAACCUUCCUUCUUUUGAGAAAGAAAUAGAGAAAUAAAGUAAUGAUAUGGNNNNNNNNNNNNNNNNNNNNNNNNNNNNNNNNNNNNNNNNNNNNNNNNNNNNNNNNNNNNNNNNNNNNNNNNNNNNNNNNNNNNNNNNNNNNNNNNNNNNNNNNNNNNNNNNNNNNNNNNNNNNNNNNNNNNNNNNNNNNNNNNNNNNNNNNNNNNNNNNNNNNNNNNNNNNNNNNNNNNNNNNNNNNNNNNNNNNNNNNNNNNNNNNNNNNNNNNNNNNNNNNNNNNNNNNNNNNNNNNNNNNNNNNNNNNNNNNNNNNNNNNNNNNNNNNNNNNNNNNNNNNNNNNNNNNNNNNNNNNNNNNNNNNNNNNNNNNNNNNNNNNNNNNNNNNNNNNNNNNNNNNNNNNNNNNNNNNNNNNNNNNNNNNNNNNNNNNNNNNNNNNNNNNNNNNNNNNNNNNNNNNNNNNNNNNNNNNNNNNCAUACAAAGCACGGUCGUUCAAGGAAAAUAACUCAAAAACUUAAAAAACUGAUUGCUCGAACUUUAGCAACUUAGCUUUUCUGUCAUCUGCUACCCGGCAAGGAGAAACUUUCUUGAACGGCCUGGUCCACACCAUUAUCUUCUCCUCCCCCCCCCCCCGGUAAACCUUGUGGGCAAGGGAACCUUCCUUCUUUUGAGAAAGAAAUAGAGAAAUAAAGUAAUGAUAUGGAGCCUUGGGCUCGUUAUUGCUUACCGGGGUCUGGUGCUGCACAAAGUGUCAGAUAACAUAUGCGAAAGAUUAUCAUAGCAUAAAAAAAACUGACAAGAUGUGCGGGGCACAUGAGCUUUACUGGUGCACGGGGUCUGCGCCCGGCUUUGUACAAAGGAUUACAUGCAACAGCGGCAAGACUUGUACAAAAGGUGGUUGCUGGAAAAGCUUCCGGCAACCGCGCCCUACGGGUAAAACUUACGAAGAUGUUCUAUGUUCUAGGAGUUGCUCACCGGAAUGCCAUCUUCGGUCUCAAGGCGGACAGCGCCGGGCCUAGUGACUCAUUUUACCCGAUAAGGGCCUUCCCACUUCGGCGUCAACUUGUUGGAAUUCUUGGCGGACUGAACACGCCGAAGAACAAGGUCGCCUUCCUCGAAGCUUCUGGCUUUAACUUUGCGGCUAUGGUGGCGACGCAAAGCUUGCUGGUAGCGAGCGGCUUGCACAACAGCCUGAAGACGGUCUUCCUCAAGGAGCAACGCGUCAUCUUGGCGCAACUGCUCUUGCUCGAGCUCAUCAUAAGGGAGCACUCGAGAUGACCCGUAAACGAGUUCCAUGGGGAGAACUGCCUCUGCUCCGUAAACUAGAGCGAAGGGUGUCUGGCCAGUGGCUCGAUUUGGCGUCGUCCUUAUCGACCAAAGAACCACCGGCAGCUCCUCGAUCCAGUUUCUUCCGCACUUGUGCAGCCUGUCGAAAGUUCUGGUCUUGAGGCCUCGCAGCACUUCAGCAUUUGCCCUCUCCGCUUGACCGUUGCUUCUCGGGUGAGCAGCAGAAGCGAAGCAGACCUUGGCGCCAAGAUCUUGGACAUACUGCAUGAAGGUGCGGCUCGUAAAUUGCGUGCCGUUGUCGGUGAUGAUCCUGUUAGGGAUCCCGAAAUGGCAAACAAUCGACCUGAAGAACUUGACUGCUGACUGUGCUGUCGCCUUCCUCACUGGUUCCACUUCCGACCACUUUGUGAACUUGUCGAUUGCAACGUACAAGAACUCAAAGCCCCCGAUAGCUCGGGGGAAGGGGCCGAGGAUGUCGAGCCCCCAGACCGAAAAUGGCCAGGAUAAAGGGAUCGUCUGGAGAGCUUGAGCUGGCUGGUGUAUCUGUUUGGAAUGGAACUGGCACGCUUCACACUUGGUUACUUGUGCAGUUGCAUCCUGGAGGGCUGUCGGCCAGAAGAAACCUUGUCGGAAAGCUUUGCCGGCAAGUGCUCUUGCGCCAAUGUGGUGACCACAUAUGCCUCCAUGUAUCUCUGCCAACAGCUGUUGUCCAUCUUCCCGGCGAAUGCACUUCGAUUUCACACCGUUGAGUCUUAUUCUGUACAGUGUGUUGUCGACAAACUUGUACAUACUCGACUGCCGGGCUACUCUUUCCGCUUCUUCUUGUUCUUCGGGAAGCUCUCCUGUCUGGAGGAAACGGACAAUCUGCUGCGCCCAUGCCGAAGCUUGCGGCUCGACAACAAGGGCUAAAGGCAUAUCUGUUGCUGCGGGAACAUCCGCUUCCACGGCAAGAACCUGCGGCUCUGCCAGAGCGUGAUAUUCCCCAGCAAGCUUGCCGAAGCAAAACUUGUCGGGAGCGUUUGCUUCAACGGAACAAACCAAGAGGUUCGCCGGAGCAGACUGCUCCUCAGCACUCUUAGCGUCGAUCUUGGGGACCUUCUUGGCGGCGGCUUCGAGAAGCUCUGCCGGAAAGUAGUCACUAGAAACCAACUUCCUCUUCUUUCUUUGUCUAGUCGACGGUGUUACGGAUGGUUGAGUCAGCUUGAGCACAAAAAUCCCUGGUUCCACAGGUAACUUCAGUGCUGCGCACUUUGACAGGCCGUCAGCAAUAUCGUUCUGAGCUCGUGGAACGUGCUCCAUUUGUAGGCCGUCAAAGUGUUCUUCUAGCUUUCUCACAUCAUCAACAUAAGCUUCCAUCAAUGGACUCUGGUAGUUCUUGUUCACUUGGCGGACGGCAAGCUGCGAGUCACCCCUUACAAUGAGUUUCUUGAUCCCAAGGUCGGCUGCGAUUCUGAGGCCGGCAAGCAAACCUUCAUACUCUGCAGUAUUGUUCGUUGCUUGCUCCUUGGGAAAGUGCAUCUGGACUACGUACUUGAGGUGCUCUCCGGUGGGUGUGAUAAGCAGCACGCCAGCACCGGCGCCUUGCAGCGAGAAGGCACCAUCAAAGUACAUCAGCCACUCUUUGCUUGUCUCCUUGACGGGGAUGCUUGUCUUUGGAAUUUCUUCGUCUGGGGUUGGCGUCCACUCUGCUAUGAACUCUGCCAAUGCCCUGCUUUGGAUCGUUGCAGUGCUCUCAAACUUGAGGCCAAAGCUUGACAGUUCCAAAGCCCACUCGACAAUCCUGCCUGUUGCUUCUGGAUUCUGCAGUAUCCUCUUCAGCGGAAAGCGAGUGACAACUGUGAUCUCGUGUGCCUGGAAGUAAUGGCGCAGCUUUCUCGAGGCCAUGAGAAGGCCGAAAAGCAAUUUUUGCACACCAGAGUACCUCGACCUAGCCCCUUGGAGAAGGGAGCUGACAAAGUAAACUGGGCGCUGCACCAUCUUCUUCUGCACCUCCUUGCACGUCUGCGCAGAUUCAUCUUUGUCGGGACCAGAGCUUGUCGGAGAAGCCCCCUGCUUGUCGCUGGAUUCACUUGUCGCGGUCGUUGGCUCAUCAUCCGCCUCCCUCUCCGCUACUAACGCAGCACUAACCACUUGAUUGGUUGCCGCUAGGUACAACAACAACUUCUCUUGUGGCUUAGGUGCGACAAGUAUUGGAGUGGAGGACAGGUACCUCUUCAAGUCCUGCAGCGCGUCCUCCGCUUCCGGAGUCCAUUUCAUUGGACCUGCCUUUUUCAAUAUUUUGAAAAACGGCAGGGCGCGCUCAGUAGACUUAGAGAUAAACCUGCCGAGAGCAGCCACGCAACCAGCGAGCCUUCGCACAUCCUUGACGCGCUUCGGUGCUUCAAUCUGCUCGAUGGCCUUGAUCUUGUCGGGGUUGGCUUCAAUUCCCCGCUGAGACACAAAGAACCCGAGAAGCUUGCCGGAAGGGACUCCAAACACGCACUUCUCGGGGUUGAGCUGAGGUUGAUCUUGCACAGAUUUGCAAAAGUUUCUUCUAAAUCUUGGAUCAGGGUAGCCUUGUCCUUGCUCUUGACCAAUAUAUCAUCCAUGUAGGCUUCCACAUUUCUGUGUAUCUGUGGCUCAAAAGCGACGUGGACUACCCUUGCAAAUGUUGAACCAGCAUUCUUCAACCCAAAGGGCAUCCGUACAAAACAGUAUGUGGCGCAAGGGGUGAUAAAUGCGGUUUUUUCCUCGUCUUCUUCUGCCAUGAAGAUUUGAUGGUAUCCUGAAUAUGCAUCAAGAAAUGAAAGCAAAUCACAUCCAGCUGUGGAGUCAACAAUCUGGUCAAUGCGCGGCAAGGGAAAUGGAUCUUUGGGACAAGCUUUAUUGACAUAAGUGAAGUCUAUACAAAGCCUCCAUUUCCCGUUCGCCUUGCGCACGACUACAGGAUUGGCCAACCACGUGGGAUGGAGCACUCCUCUGACAAGGCCUGCUGCUUCCAAUUUCCUGAUCUCUUCUGCAAUGAACUCUUGGCGCUCCACCGCUUGCUUCCUGACUCUCUGCUUGACGGGCCGCGCAUGAGGACAGACGGCAAGGUGGUGCUCGAUUACUUUCCUGGGAACACCGGGGAUAUCAGACGGUUGCCAUGCAAACACGUCGACAUUCGCCCGCAGGAAAGGAACGAGCGCGCUUUCCUAUUUGGGGUCAAGCGUGGCACUGAUGGUGAAGGUACCACCAGUGCCGUCCUUCUUGGCGGACACCUUCUUGGUCUCGGGUGGAGCUGCCAUCGUCUUCUUGCACUUGCCGGUGGAGCUCGAUGGUGCGUCCUCGACGGUAGCGCAGCACUCCGAAGAGGUGCGCUUGCCGGAGUGGGCAUCAGAGCUCUUGCCGGACUUUGUCUUCUUCUUCCCCCCGGGAGCUUCAGCGGCAAGUGUGUUGUGAUCAGCUGCGGCUGCUGCUUCCCGGUAGAUCUUGUCGGCGCAGAUAAGGGCAUCUUUCUUGUCGCCGGGGACAGAGAUGACACUUAUCGGGCCUGGCAUCUUGAGUAUGUUGUAUGCAUAGUGAGAGGCUGCCAUAAACUUGGCGAGCGCUGGACGGCCAAGGAUCCCAUUGUAGGGCAAUGGAAAAUCGGCAAUGUCAAAUGUGACCCUCUCAGUUCUGAAAUUCAGCUCGCUGCCAAAUGUGACCGGCAGCGUGAUCUUCCCCUUCGGCUUGCUCCUUCCCGGGUUGAUUCCUUGGAAUGUGCCGGUCUCUUCGAGCUCGCUGUCAGGGAUCUGGAGUUUCUGAAGGACCGCGGAGGAGAUCAAAUUCAAGCCGGCCCCGCCGUCAACUAGCAUCUUCGUGACCUUGAGGUUGCGGAUAGUUGGUGACACCAACAUCGGCAAGCACCCGACCGCAGUUACGCGAUUAGGGUGAUCCUCAAUGUCGAAGAUGAUAGGCGUGCUGGACCAUUUCAGAGGCUUGCGUGACUCUACGGAUGGUUCCGCUGCAUUAACCUCCCGCAUCCACUGCUUGAGUUGGCGGUGCGAAGUAUGCAGAGAAGCACCACCGUCAACGCACAGGACCUCUGUAGCUUUCUGAAAUUCCUGCUCAUCGGCCUCAUCAUCAUCCACGUCUUCGUCAUCGUCGUUGUCUUCAUCCUUGUCGCGGCCACGGGGAGGCCAAUCUCCUUGCCGCGGCGUCCUCCUCGGCCAGGACGUUUCUUGCUGGAUCCACCAGUUCCUUCCUGGGCCUUCUCCUUGUCGCGUCGCUCGUAUUCAGCUUUCUGCAGUUCAACGAGCUGCUCAACCUUCUUGCAACUCUGGAGAUCGUGGCCCUUGGUGCGGUGGAUCUUGCAAUACUGCUUGCCGGAGCCGUCCUGCUUGUCGGCGGCCGCCACAGGCUGGGCCUCCUUGCCGGAGCCACCAGCUUUAGCUUCCUUGGCGCCACCUCCGUUGCCGGUCUGCUCGACAGCUAGCACUUCCUUGCCCUUCCUUCUUCUGUUGUUUCGCCGCCGGCCUUUCCUUGUCGGGGCGGCAUCCUCACUGUCGGAUCCUCCUGCUCCUGUACUCUCUCCGGAGAGCCUCCUCCCUUCUUCAGCGCGUGCACACUUGUCGGCCAGGGCGUAAAGCUCGCUGACGUCUCUGAUCUUACACAUCGCCAUCUCCUCCCUCAUCCUUCGGUUUCGCACGUUCUGACGGAACGCGCUGAUGAUCGCGGCGGGGUGGACGUCUGGGAUGUUGUGCUGUACACGGCUGAAUCUCUGAAUGUACUUGCGCAGUGGCUCUCCUUCCUUCUGGGCGAGCAGAUGAAGAUCGCUCUCUUGGCCAUGUGGUUUGUGGCCGCCUGUAAAGGCGCCGACAAACUGAUGGCAUAAAUCUGCCCAAGAGGAGAUGGAAUUGUCCGGCAAGUGCAUGAGCCAGGACCUGACGUUGGGCUUGAGUACCAGCGGGAAGUAGUUGGCAAGGAUCUUGUCGUCCCGUCCCCCGGCAGCCUGCACCGCGAUGGUGUAGAUGCUGAGAAACUCCAACGCGUCUUGCCGUCGUACUUCUCUGGUACGUCUGGUUUGAAAUUCUUUGUGCUGGGCCACUGGACUUGCCGCAGCUCACGGGUGAACGCAGGACAACCUACCGCGUACGGCAGAUCGCCUGGUUCCCCUGGCGCAUGCAUGUCAACAGAGGGCCCAGCGCGCUUGUCGGAUUGACGUCGCGCUUCUCUUUGGCGCUCGAUGCGAGUUCGAGCGUCUUCUUGUUGUCGUUCAUGGAGAACUUGGUGCUGGUCGCGACGAGCUCGUGGGUCCGACGACGCGGUGGAGCCGCUGUCGGGGUGGACCCGGCGAGUCGGCGAUUUUGGUCUUCGUAGUGGAGAGUGCAUGGAAGUCGCACCUCCCCCAGUCUUGUUGCCAUCGGCUCGCGCCCGGCUAUCCUGCCGCGGCAGCGAGGUGCUUGGUUGCCGCGCAGUGUCACCGUUGGCGAAGCCGAUGAGGCUCUGGAUAGUGGCCCUCCAUUCGUCGGUCUUGUCUGCCGUCGGAGGAUAGUCUAGGAGCAGUUGAGCUCGCGCCAAGGCUUCUGCUGGAGUGGUGGGCGGCGGGGGUGAACGAUGCGAGGAGCAGGGCGUGCUCGGACUCCUAACCACGUUAGAAGGAGCAGUGCCCCGUCCAGGCGACCGUACUUCGCUCGAGCCAGAAUGUUGACGUGCAUGUUGGUCUUGAGCGCCACGAGAACCACCAGCUUGAUCUUGGCCCAGCGGACGUAUGGCGCUGCGAACGCCAUGACGCUGCUGGUCCCGCGCCUCCUGAGAGGGACGCGGUGCGCGCAUGGACGCCGAGGUCUGUGCCGCCUUGUCCUUGGACUUGGCCGCACUGAGGGCUCCCUCGUCGACGCCCAUUCUUCCGCCGGCGUCCACUCCACCACCCAUUUGCUCCGGAGGCGGUGAAAGCGACGCAGACGGAAUAGCUGCCUCCGAGCCCUUCUUCUUCGGUGGCAUGUCGAUGAAGACGAUGAAGAUUUAGCUCGCAUGCACGCCCGAUCGGGUUCGCACGAUCUCGACGCCCCCUACCUGGCGCGCCAAAGAUGUCGGGGAAGCUGAUCCACCAACACCUAUGGGGACCGGGCCCCUUUCGGUUCGGAGGGGGGCGGAGGCUGCACAAAGAGCGGAUCGAGGCGGUACACGCGGGCAGUUUUUACCCAGCUUCGGGCCGCACGGAUGCGUAAAACCCUAUUGCUGCUUGUUUGUGUGUAUUGAAUUCUUGCUCAGGAGCGAUGGACGCUGCCAGACCGAGCGUGAGAGUGUUCCUGAUGUUUCGAAUGAGCUGAACCCCCUCUACGUUGCGCUUGGGCCUCCUUUUAUACUCUCAAGGGGUCAUGGACAGGUGGCAACGUAGACGAGAGGGGUAGAAAUGGAAAAAGAAUGCGGUAGCUGCACCUACCGCUAUUGUAGACACAAUGUAUCCUACCUAACUCUGACGGCAGGGGACAGGGGCAUUGAAUGCCCGUCUGAGUUGCCUAAACAGUGCAAAAAGUGACCGUUAGGAGCGCCACCGUUUGCCACGAUGGCCUUCUCUUCAUCUCCGCUUGCCACCGCGUACCCCUAGCUGUGCGGCCUCCUGCCACAUGAAGUGGGGGUUUCCCGCAGCAAGCUCCUUGCCGCGGUCGUCGUCUUGUCGUGUUUGGGAGCUUGUUGCUCACCGGGCCUUGCCGGGACGCAGGGCGCGUCGCGGCAAGCUUUCUUGGUAUGCCUUGAGUGGCCUUCUCGGCAAGCUCCUCUUGCCGGGGUCUUGUCUCUUCCGGCAAGAUCCUCUUGCCGGGGCCUGGGUUGGCCUUCCCGGCAAGCUCCUCUUGCCGGGGCCUUGGUUGGCCUUCCCGGCAAGCUCCUCUUGUCGGGGCCUUGGUUUGAGUACUUUGUUCUUGAAUGGUCUUCAAGGGAACCACGGAGGGUCUUGGCGGUCACCCGGCAAGCCUUGCCGCGGGAUGCUGCGACCGCCCGUGCACAAGUUCGGGGUACUAGGGUACCCCUACUCUAGUACACCGACAACCUCUUGUGUCCUUUGUCCCGAUUAACCCCUUUAAGCUUCCUAGUUGCGAUGGCCCUACGACUAAGUCCUUUUGCUAGGACAUCUGCCGUGACAAUUCCAUGACAGUUGGCGCCCACUGUGGGGCCAACGCACGGUGGAUUUGAGUUCUUGAAGGGCAACUUCGAAGGGAUCAAGGGAUACAUUGUGGGCCGGAUGACCAAGAGUCGUCGCGGCAAGCUCUACAUCAACGAUGAAGGCUGGGGCCCCAAGGCCGGCUCAAUAGAGUACGGGUACCGGGUCCCCUUCGGCGGGAUUCAUGUCUUCAUUGGCCGGAUCAGUGAAUCGGGCCCUGAGCCGGACGUCUGCACCAACAUCAUUGAGACGGCUCAGCUCGUGAGGCCCGCCCGGGCCCGACCCGCUGUAAGGCGUGUUUUUGUGGGUUGCAUCCAUGGAGGUAAAUACUCGGAGGAACCGGUGGAUGGUGGUGAGAUGACCAUCUGUUCUGACGCUACAUCAUCAACAGGUGAGACAAAUUCUUUGUAUCAGCUGGAGGAUGGCAUGCUCGGGGGCUGUGCUGAUGGCAGCAGUAUUCCGGACCCCUUUGAGCUGCCGAAUCGAGCCGGAGUCUUCAUGGCAAGCACUCCGCCCAGACAAAACUCUACAGCUGCAGCAGCAGCAACCACCGGGUCGGCAGCGGCCGGGUCAGGAGACCCUGCGCGCCCCCCGGCACAGAUACUAAUGGAUCUCACGGAUAAGUUGACAGCUCUGUUGACUAUCGUGGUGGAGCCGGCGGAUAAGGUUCAGCAUGACGCGGAGGUUGCACGGGUACGCGAAGAGAUGGUACAAGCCAAAGACAAUUUAGCAGCAGAAGAAGUCAGGAUGGCCGCGGAACGGGCGGCGUUGGACGCCCGUGCUCAGCAGCUUCAAGUAGAGACCUUCCGGUUGUCAAUGGAUCUAAACGCGUCAAACGAGGUCAUGAGGAGAAGGCAUCAGAAAACUCAGUCAUGUCUACCUCUGACGCUCGAUCCUAGGAACCUUUUUAAUAUACUCGGGGCCGGGACAAGUAACCUGCCGAAGGCAAAUAGAAUCGCGACGCCCGGAGCACCGGUUCAGCCGCAGACCAUGGAGCCGCCUCGCAUAUACACCGCUCCGCCUCAUUAUACGCCGACACCACCGGGUCACUUCUCCAAUCCUUUGGAAAACCUCAUUGCUGCGUCGGCUUGUUUGGCGACUCUCCCGAUGGAAGGUGACUCCCCGACGGCAAUCGAAACACGCAAGGUGAGAGAACUUCUUCAGACGGCUCUGGCGUAGCAGGACGCGUACUCUUACAGUCAAGACAGAAUCCAUUCAACACCUCGCCCGAGCCGAAGCCCAAGCUACAGUAAGCAUAUGGACUCAACUAAUAUGUCAAGCAAUGCUCAACGCUGCAACCGGCCGCACAAGCAUGAGCCGGUAUAGGCUAGAGCCCUUAACUUAGCGGAUUAGGAGAGGAUCCGACAAGAAGUUGAGCGCGCGGUUCAACUAGCAGCAAAGCAGGCGGCUCAUCAGAUGUUUCCGGCCUAUCCAGCAACCUCGGUUGAGGCAGGAGUGGCCACGAGAACCGGAGGUGUCCCUUGCCUGGUGCCGGACAUACGUAAUGAGCGCUUGCCAAAAGACUUCAAGGGGCCUCGUAAGGUGCCUAAUUACACGGCUGACUUGCAGCCUGGGGCCUAGAUUGAGAGUUAUGAGAUGGCAAUUGAGUUGUUGGAGGUCAGUGACGUGGCAAUGGCUAAGUAUUUCACUAUGAUGUUGGAUGGAACAGCUAGCACUUGGCUAAAAGGAUUGUCCCCAAUUCCAUCGGCUCAUGGGCGGAGUUAAAAGCCUGGUUCAUUCAGAACUUCAAGGACACAUGCAAACAACCUAUGUCAAUCGUGGACCUGACUAAUUGUAAACAAGAGGAAGAUGAGUCCACAACCCAUUGGGUGCGCCGGGUCAAGGAGAUAAUUCAUUCAUCUGAUAAGAUGGAUGCCGGCUCGGCAGUCUUAAUGUUGGAGAAAAAUUGCCGUUUUGAACCUCUGAAGCAGAAGCUGGGACGGCUUAAACGUGACUGCAAUGACAUGUGCCAGUUGAUGGUGGCUCUCAUCAAGUAUGCUGAUUCUGAUAGUACCAAGGACCAUGUGUCUGAUGAAGAAAAGAUAGGGAAGGGAAAGAAGAACGGCAACGGCAAGCGUCACCAGCAUAACUCGGCAAAUCAAGGAGGUAAUAAACGUAAGGCUGACGAAUUUGUGGCUAUCCCCAAUGCGCAGGGAAACAAUCAACGGUGCAAGGGUAGGCAACCCCCUCGGUCAGGCGGGUCAGGUCCCACCCUUGAGCAACUAUUGAAUGAACCUUGUCCAAGACACGACACCCAGGAGAAGCCAGCCACCCAUCUGUGGAAGGACUGUACAAUCAUGAAGGCGUUUAAAAAUUCAAAUGCAUUUGAUGGAAGUCACGGCCCUGGCGGCAGUUUAGGUGGAGGCGGCUUUCAUGGCCCGGGCGCCGGCUCAGGUGGAGGCGGCUUUCACGGUCAGGGACAUGCAGGUAACCAGGGAGGUUAUAAUCCACAACCCGACCAAGGUAAUCAGCAGCAAUCCAGAUAUCAGAGCAACCCAAAACAACUGAAUAUUGGGCAAUAUCUUGUAUUUACCACUAGCUUGUGCAAGAGGGACCAGAAUCUUCACAAGAGGGCGGUCAAUGCCGUUGAGCCGGCGAUUCCGCGUUACUUACGGUGGUCAGAACAGCCUAUUGUGUGGAGUAGAGAGGAUCAUCCUCCCCGGGUUGAUAAUCCGGGUCACUUGGCCUUGGUAGUAGUGCCUCGGGUUGGUGGAUAUAAAUUCACUAAAGUUCUCAUGGAUGGAGGCAGUAGCAUCAACAUCCUCUACUAUGAGACAUUUCGUCGGAUGGGAUUGACUGAUAAGUGUCUUAAGCAAUCCAACACUAUUUUUCAUGGUGUGGUACCUGGCAAGUCGGCAUACCCAGUUGGGAAGAUUGAACUGGAAGUAGCCUCUGGGGAUGAAUAUGAUUCUAGAGCGGAGAAAUUAACCUUUGAGGUGGUUAAGAUCAAAAGCCCAUAUCAUGCUUUGUUUGGACGGCCGGCUUACGCCAAGUUCAUGGCUUGACCGUGUUAUGUGUAUCUGCAGCUCAAGAUGCCGGGUUAUAAGGGCACCAUUACAGUACAUGGAAGCUGGAAAAUAGCCCUGGAGUGUGAAGAAGGAGAUGCUGCAUAUGUUGAGUCUGUUUGUGCAACAGAGGAGCUAAAGUUUUAUAAAGAUAAUGUUGACCCGGCAGACAUGAUGUCUUUAAAGAAGCCAACAACGAAGCAUGAACCGGUGUUGAAAUUCAAGUCAGAUAAUGACACUAAGAUGGUUGAUUUUGUGCCCGACGACUCAUCCAAGAAGUUCAUCAUCAGUGCCAACUUGGAUCCAAAAUAGGAAAGCGCGUUCAUCGAGUUCAUCCAUGAGAACUGGGACAUCUUUGCAUGGAAACCUUCUGACAUGCCGGGUGUCCUGAGAGAACUCGCUGAGCACACUCUCAAUAUUGAUCCAAGGUUUAAGCCGGUCAGGCAAUUUCUUUGAUGGUUCAACGAGGAAAGGCGCAAGGCCAUUGGAGAAGAGGUGGCCCGACUCUUGGCGGCCGGGUUCAUUGUGGAAGUUUUUCACCCGGAGUGGUUGGCCAACCCGGCGCUUGUACUAAAAAAGAAUGGCACCUGGCGUAUGUGUGUGGAUUACACCGAUUUAAACAAAGCUUGUCCAGCUGACCCUUUUGCUCUCCCCCGUAUUGAUCAGAUCAUCGAUGCUACGGCGGGUUGAGCACGUUUGAGUUUUCUGGAUGCUUAUUCAGGUUAUCAUCAGAUCAAGAUGGCAGUCAAGGACCAGGAGAAGGUAGCUUUCAUCACUCCAUUUGGAGCCUUCUGCUAUGUGUCUAUGCCCUUCGGGCUUAAGAGUGCCCAGGCAACUUAUCAACAGUGUAUGUGAAGGAAAUAUGCCCUAGAGGCAAUAAUAAAGUUAUUGUUUAUUUCCUUAUAUCAUGAUAAAUUUUUAUUAUUCAUGCUAGAAUUGUAUUAACCGGAAACAUGAUACAUGUGUGAAUACAUAGACAAACAGAGUGUCACUAGUAUGACUCUACUUGACUAGCUCGUUGAUCAAAGAUGGUUAUGUUUCCUAGCCAUAGACAAAGAGUUGUCAUUUGAUUAACGGGAUCACAUCAUUAGGAGAAUGAUGUGAUUGACUUGACCCAUUCCGUUAGCUUAGCACUUGAUCCUUUAGUUUGUUGCUAUUGCUUUCUUCAUGACUUAUACAUGUUCCUAUGACUAUGAGAUUAUGCAACUCCCGUUUACCGGAGGAACACUUUGUGUGCCACCAAACGUCACAACAUAACUGGGUGAUUAUAAAGGUGCUCUACAGGUGUCUCCGAAGGUACUUGUUGGGUUGGCGUAUUUUGAGAUUAGGAUUUGUCACUCCGAUUGUCGGAGAUGUAUCUCUAGGCCCUCUCGGUAAUGCACAUCACUUAAGCCUUGCAACCAUUGCAACUAAUGAGUUAGUUGCGGGAUGAUGUAUUACGGAACGAGUAAAGAGACUUGUCGGUAACGAGAUUGAACUAGGUAUUGAGAUACCUACGACCGAAUCUCAGGCAAGUAACAUACCAAUGACAAAGGGAACAACGUAUGUUGUUGUGCGGUUUGACCGAUAAAGGUCUUCGUAGAAUAUGUGGGAGCCAAUAUGAGCAUCCAGGUUCCGCUAUUGGUUAUUGACCGGAGACGUGUCUCGGUCAUGUCUACAUAGUUCUCGAACCCGUAGGGUCCGCACGCUUAAUGUUACGAUGACGGUUAUAUUAUGAGUUUAUAUGUUUUGAUGUACCGAAGGUUGCUCGGAGUCCCGGAUGUGACCAAGGACAUGACGAGGAGUCUCGAAAUGGUCGAGACAUGAAGAUUGAUAUAUUGGAAGCCUAUGUUUGGAUGUCGGAAGUGUUCCGGGUGAAAUCAGGAUUUUACCGGAGUACCGGGAGGUUACUGGAACCCCCCGAGAGCUUAAUGGGCCUAUACGGGCCUUAGUGGAAAUAGAGGGAAGCAAGGGGAGUGUGGGGCGCACGCCCCCAAGGCCCAAACCAAAUUGGUUUAGGGCAAGGGGGCCGGCCCCCUCUUUCCUUCUUCUCCUCUCUCUUUCCUUCUCCCGAAUCCUAUUUCAACUAGGAAGGGGGGGUCCUACUCCCGGUGGGAGUAGGACUCCUCCUGACGUGCCCUCUCCCUGGCCGGCCGCACCCCCUUUGCUCCUUUAUACACGGGGGCAAGGGGGCACCCCAUAGACACAACAAUUGAUCAUUUGAUCCUUUAGCCGUGUGCGGUGCCCCCCUCCAUCAUAGUCCACCUUGAUAUUACUGUAGCGGUGCUUAGGCGAAGCCCUGCGUCGGUAGAACAUCAACAUCGUCACCACACCGUCAUGCUGACGAAACUCUCCCUCAACACUUGGCUGGAUCAGAGUUCGAGGGACGUCAUCAGGCUGAACGUGUGCUGAACUCAGAGGUGUCCUAUGUUCGGUACUUGAUAGGUCGGAUCGUGAAGACGUACGACUACAUCAACCGCGUUGUGCUAACGCUUCCUUUGGUUUUUCCAUGGUUGUUAAAGCGCUAGUCAGCUCUUCUUUAGCCUUGGAAGUUUCUGCUUGCUGGGACUUGAUAUUUUCCUGAAGAUCAGCGACUUGAGAUUCCUUUUUGCUCAGAUCAGCCUGCAAGAGACAUUUAAUGAGUUGGUAGGGCAUAUUAACAAGUUAUAUACUUGGCACUUGGGGGCUAAUGCAUAUUGCUUUUUAUCAGCUGACAUUUUAAAGUCCCAAGCACAUAACAGAUUAUACACUUGGCACUUGGGGGCUAAUGCAUAUUUGCUCAAGUCAAGGUUAUGGAUUUGUUCCUCCUCAAUCGGAUUACAAUGAUGAUUAUCAAGAAUUUUGGAAGCUUCAUGAUAGAAAGAUACCGAUUCAUCCUAAAGGUAUAAACCUGUCCCUGGGGCUACACAAGCAAAAAUUGCAAGAUUCAUACUCUAAAGUCCCGGUUCAUCCUGGAAAGAUAAACCGACCCUUGGGGGCUACGCAGGAAAAGUUGAAGUAUUACAAAGUCCUGGUUUACGUUGAUAUCAUAAACCGACCCUUGGGGGCUACUGGAAUUGAUAUUGGAAAUUAAACACAAGAGAAACUAUUAUGCAGAGUUAACAGUAUUUACCACAUAUCGCUCUUUCAUCAGGUUCACUAAACCGGCUUCAUAGUCGCGGCUUGUGUACAAGCGGUUUAAAAACCCAGAGUGGAUAUCUUGGGCGCUGAGGUGGGCAUAGCUUUCCAAAUAUGUUUUCCACUUGCCUUUAUCCAUAGCAGCAAAUUCUUCCUUGGCACUAUGUUUGGAUAAAGUAGUGGGGUUGCCAGGAGUUGUGUAUCCUAAACCAGUAAUGAUGACAUCGUCCGAUUGGUCAUCAACCGCUUUGACUGGGCUUUACGGUUUAUCUGCAGCUUUGGCCGGACUUGGCGGGUCAGUAGCAUGGCCGGUCGGAUCAUCUUCCAUCUGUUCAACAAAGGUUUCAUGAUGUUCCGGUGGCGGAUCAUCAAGAAUAGCAUCAACAUUCGCCUCAAACUGUUAUGGGGUCUGUUCCGGUUCAGUGGCUGGGUUAUCAUCAGCCGGUGUAGUCAAUUUGGCCUUUUUACUAGGCCUAGUUUUGGCUCUAAAAUGAAUGGAAAUAAAGGUUAGUAUAUUCAACAGGUGCAAGGGAUAAAAAGUUAAGGGUAGUAUGCUUACCCAGGAACAAUCUUAAGAGGUGGAAGUUGUGUCCCUAUCGAUUCGCCAGAGGAUGAAUGGGAAGUUCCCUGGUAGUUUGAGUCAGACGGAUUAAGAGGUUGCCGAAAAUAACCAGCCUUGGGAUAAGAUAUGUCAUGAAUGGAUGAAACCUCUGGCCGGCGUUUUCGAACCGGCGUGUUCGGUAAACCGGAUGAAGUAACCACCUGGCCACUAUGCCAGGUUGUGCGACGAGCUUCACGCUGCUGUUUCUUCAAAAGAAAACUGGGAUCCAGAUAAGCUAGAGGGUGUGAAAAUUUUACUUUCCGGUUUGCUUGAUGGGUUUUCUGUGUUGGCUGAGGAUCUGAACCAGAGGCAUCAGCCCGGCUAGCUUCAGCGUCAUUGCUACCUCUUGAGCACCGCGUUGGUUUUCCCUUGAAGAGGAAAGGGUGAUGCAGCAAAGUAGCGUAAGUAUUUCCCUCAGUUUUUGAGAACCAAGGUAUCAAUCCAAUAGGAGGCUACGCGCGAGUCCCUCGCACGUACACAAAACAAAUAAAUCCUCGCAACCAAUGCGAUAAGGGGUUGUCAAUCCCUACACGGUCACUUACGAGAGUGAGAUCUGAUAGAUAUGAUAAGAUAAUAUUUUUGGUAUUUUUAUGAUAAAUAUGCAAAGUAAAAUAAAAGGCAAUGAAAAUGACUAAGUGUUGGAAGAUUAAUAUGAUGGAAAAUAGACCCGGGGGCCAUAGGUUUCACUAGUGGCUUCUCUCAAGAGCAUAAGUAUAUUACGGUGGGAGAACAAAUUACUGUUGAGCAAUUAACAGAAGUGAGCAUAGUUAUGAGAAUAUCUAGGUAUGAUCAUGUAUAUAGGCAUCACGUCCGAGACAAGUAGACCGACUCCUGCCUGCAUCUACUACUAUUACUCCACACGUCGACCGCUAUCCAGCAUGCAUCUAGAGUAUUAAGUUCAUAAGAACAGAGUAACACUUUAAGUAAGAUGACAUGAUGUAGAGGGAUAAAUUUAUGCAAUAUGAUAAAAAAACCCAUCUUGUUAUCCUCGAUGGCAACAAUACAAUACGUGCCUUGCUGCCCCUACUGUCACUGGGAAAGGACACCGCAAGAUUGAACCCAAAGCUAAGCACUUCUCCCAUUGCAAUAAAGAUCAAUCUAGUAGGCCAAACCAAACUGAUAAUUCGAAGAGACUUGCAAAGAUAACCAAUCAUACAUAAAAGAAUUCAGAAAAGAUUCAAAUAUUGUUCAUAGAUAAACUUGAUCAUAAACCCACAAUUCAUCAAUCUCAACAAACACACCGCAAAAGAAGAUUACAUCGAAUAGAUCUCCAUGAGAGAGGAGGAGAACAUUGUAUUGAGAUCCAAAAAGAGAGAAGAAGCCAUCUAGAUAAUAACUAUGGACCCGAAGGUCUGAGGUAAAGUACUCACACAUCAUCGGAGAGGCUAUGGUGUUGAUGUAGAAGCCCUCCGUGAUCAAUGCACCUUCCGGCGGAGCUCCGGAAUAGGCCCCAAGAUGGGAUCUCAUGGAUACAGAAAGUUAGGGCGGUAGAUUUAGGGUUUUGGCUCCGUAUCUGAUCGUUUGGGGGUACGUAGGUAUAUAUAGGAGGAAGAAGUAUGUCGGUGGAGCAACAGGUGGCCCACGUGGGUGGAGGGCGCGCCUUGGGGGGUAGGCGCGCCCCCUACCUCGUGGCUUCCCUGUUGGUUGCUUGACGUAGGGUCCAAGUCUCCUGGAUCAUGUUCAUUCCGAAAAUCACGUUCCCGAAGGUUUCAUUCCGUUUGGACUCCGUUUGAUAUUCUUUUUCUGUGAAACUCUGAAAUAGGCAAAAAACAACAAUUCUGGGUUGGGCCUCCUGUUAAUAGGUUAGUCCCAAAAAUCUUUACGUAAUAAUAAAGUAAAUUGGGUUUCUUUCGUCCGUCAUGACAUUUUUCAUAAAAGUCCCUCUAGUUCAGAGAAUUCAACCCGCAGUUCUGUUUUAAGUUAAAACGAACUGUUAUUUUCGUAUUUUACACAAAAGUCCAUGUCUUUUCCUGAAAUCAACCCGCCGUCCAAAUUUAAGUCACACCCGAACCGUUAUUUUACAUUUUUCGAAAACCUCCCUGAUGUUUUAGGUAAUUCAUCCAUGGAUCAUAUUUAAGUCAAACAAAUGCUUUUUUAAAUCAUCCAUAUCUUUUAAACCGUAACUCCGAUUUGAACAUGUUAUAUAUGAUAUUUGAUUAAAAAAUAUGUAGAAUAUGAAUAUGAGAUUAUUUUUACCUGUUAAGUAUUUUUAAAUAUUAUUUUGGAAUAUAUUUGAGUCAAACCAAAUGAUUUUCUAAAUUAUCUAUAUCUUUUAAACCGUAACUUCGAUUUUAACAUAUUAUAUAUGAAAUUUUAUUAGAAAAAUGUGUGGAAUCUAAAUACGAUGUUAAUUUUACCUAUUAAAUAUUUUUAAAAUAUUGUUAUGGAAGCAAACUUAUAAUUUAUAGCGCAAGAUCCAUUUUUUUCAUACCGGCGGUGAACCGGAUUGCAAAUAAACACCCCACCAUAACCAUACACGGAAAAGAAAAUAUCAAUAACUACACAUGCAUACCUCUAAAAAAUGUCAUAUGGGAAAACAACAGAUUUCUCAUCGCGAGAGUGAGAGAAAGCGAGAGAGAGAGAGAGAGAGAGAGAGAGGGGGGGGGAGAGAGAGACGCCUUAGGAUUAACCAUAUUCAACACAUGUUUUUUUGUUUUGUGUGAACACCGAGGCCAUCGCGGGCGAGAGUGAGUAGGAGGAUAAGCGGCAACACAAAUAUGAUGCCUCGCAAAAAUAAAGGAGAUGGACCUAUUGUGGUCUUGAGUGAUGGUUGUUGAGUUAAAAGCGUGUAGCGACCAGACCUCAAACAGUUUGAUCUCUGUGCUCCGGUGUCAUCCCUGGAUCAGUAAUGCUGACACCACACAGUACUCGGAGGAUUUAUAGUAGAGUAGCAAUCACACACUUAUUACAUCGAGUGUCUCAAAAGAGAACUUAUUACAAUAAAUAUGGCUUAAGGCCAUCUAAUAAUAAUAAUAGCGGAAGGCUUGGAAGAUAAGUGAGUCCAUCAACUCCAACGGCAUCACUGAGUAUAGAACCACGACCUAAAAACUCCUUAAUCAUCAUCUGAAAAGUCUGCAACAUUAACGUUGCAGCCCGAAAACGGGUCAGCACAUGGAAUAUGCUGGCAAGGUAACACAUAGAGAGUAAUGGAAUGCAACAGCUAUACGAUAUGCAUAUUUGGCUGGUGGAAAGCUCUAUGGUACAGUUUUGCAUAAAGCCAAUUUUUCCCUACUUCAAAAGGAAUAAAUUUAAUUACUAUCAUGGUGGUUGUUAAACAUUGAGAAUGGUUGACAGCAUUCUCAAUCCCAAUUAAGCAUCAUCAUUAGCCCAACAACAUUAAUUUUAGAGUAACAUGUUGAGAUUCACAUGAUAAUCCAGAUACUAGAUACUCAAGAUGUCCAUAACCGGGGACACGACUAAUCAUGAUUAGUUUGUUACACUCUACAGAGGUUUGCGCACUUUUCCCCACAAGACUCGAUCGCCUCCGUUGGAUUUCUCGCACUACAUGGUGUUUGAGAAACGGAUGACCGAGACACAGUCUUUCAGAAGCGCUAGCACCUUACGAUGGAUAGACCGGUACACCUACUUUCCCCUACAUCUGCUAGUCUACCCUGUAAGAGUUCGCACGACUUAAUCAACUAUGCCAGAGCCCAUAAUGGCUUGUGGCUGCACACGGAAGUUUCUAGUUUGAAAAAUCUCAUGAUCCCUUUGAGCCUAGGUGGCGGUCCAAAAGAAAACAUGCAUGUCCUGGACUACCCAGGUGCCUUAAUCCACCCAGAUGUGUAUUUAAGUUGCCACCUUAGAUAAACCGUUAAUUAUCAAUCUCACAUCUAUCAUGGAUUUCACUCACCCAAUCCACGUCUACUAGCAUAGCAUGGCAUAAUAAGCAAACGUAGAAGUAACUCCCAAAGGUUUGAUAAUAAACAGGUAAUAGGUACUACCUCAUCUACUUCCCAUCCCAUAGUUUAAUUAGAUCCUAAUCAUGCAAUGAGUGAAGAUUGAUCUAAUGCAAAAAAAACUAGGUUGUAGAAAAGGUAUGAUCAAAGUGUUACUUGCCUUGCUGAUGAUCCGUGAAACCUAACAAUUCCAAGUAACAGGCGGCGCACUCCGGGUACUCUAUCGCAGGCAAACAAACAAGCAUACAAUAAGUACUCAUCUAAUGCACAGGUAAAACUCAAAUAAGAGAUCUAACAAGAAGGUUCAACUUAAGAACUCCGGUUGGCAAAAAGAAUCAAAUCGAACGAAGCAAAGAAAGUCAAACGGCGAAAGAAAACAACUUUGUUCUAGUAAUCUGAACCUAAGUCAAAUUUUACAGUAGCAAAAACUUGUUUAAGUUGAUUAUUCAGAUAGAGGGUUUCGAGACGAAACUCCAGACGCUUGAAUCGCCUGAUUCCGACAAACGAGCGAAAAGAAAAACUAAAACGAAAAUCAGAUCAGAAAUCGCGAUCAAAAAAUAACCGCGGAAAAAUCCGACGAAAAAGAAAAACGACGAACGGAAUUUUUUUUUUAAAAAUGGCACGGAUUUCGAGAUGCGGCGAACCUCGGGCGACGCGUGGCUCCGGCGGAUCGGCGGCAGCGGCUAGGGUUAGGGUUCGGGCGGCGGCUGCUGGUGGGCUGGCUCGGGCCCGAGGCGCGGCUUAUAAAGCCCCCCGGCCGGCAGAGUUCUGGCCGGUUACGGCCCGUAGUCGGUUGCGUUUUUUUUCGCUCGAAAGAAAAAUAAAAAGAAAUACUAAACGAACUCCAAAAAUCCCGAAAUAAAUUUUCCCGGGCUUCUAAAAUCAAGCCCGACAAAGUGAACAUUUAUUUGGGCCCUAAAUGAAAUUUUGAAAAACGCACAUUUUUCCUAAUUCAAAUAAAAACAACAAAACAAAAAAAACUCCGAAAUAAAACUAUUUGAUUUUUUAUUAAAUCCUCAAUAUUUCUAUAUUUUGGGAAAGUCAUUUUAUUCCCUCUCUCAUAUUUUUGUAAUAGAAAUAAUUGAUGAUAAAAUAAAUAAAAUCAAAUGAUCCUAUUCUCAAAAUUUGAGAAAACUCAAAUAUGAAAAUAACGAAAUCCCCAACUCUCUCCGUGGGUCCUUGAGUUGCUUAGAAUUUUCUAGGAUAAAAACCCAAAGCAAAUAAAAUAUGAUAUGCAUGAUGAUCUAAUGUAUAACAUUCCAAAUUGAAAAUUUGGGAUGUUACAAACCUACCCCCCUUAAGAUGAAUCUUGCCCUCGAGAUUCGAGUUGGCUAGAAAAUAGGUGAGGGUGGUCUUUGAGCAAAUCUUCCUCUCAUUCCCAGGUGGCUUCAUCCUCCGUGUGGUGACUCCACUGAACCUUGCAAAACUUGAUAACUUUGCUGCGGGUAACUCGGCUGGCAAACUCGAGGAUCUUAACUGGUUUCUCCUCGUAGGUCAAAUCGUUAUCCAACUGAAUAGUUUCCAAAGGCACUGUGUCUCUCAAUGGUAUGUCAGCCAUCUCCGCGUGACACUUCUUUAACUGAGAAACGUGGAACACAUCACGAAUUCCUGACAAUCCUUCGGGCAAUUUCAACUUGUAGGCCACUUCUCCCAUACGCUCCAAAAUUCGAUAUGGUCCUAUAAAUCGUGGCGCUAACUUCCCUUUAACUCCAAAACGCUUUGUUCCCUGAAGUAGAGAUACUCGAAGAUAAGCUCUGUCUCCAACUUCGUAAAUUGUCUCCUUGCGUUUAGAAUCUGCAUAACUCUUCUGUCUGGACUGGGCUACCUUGAGCCUAUCGCGAAUCAACUUCACUUUCUGUUCAGACUCCUUAAUCAAGUCAGGUCCAAACAACUGACGGUCUUCAACUUCGCCCCACGACAACGGUGUCCUGCACCUUCUUCUGUACAAAGCUUCGAAAGGGGCCAUCUUCAAACUGGUUUGGUAACUGUUGUUGUAAGAGAACUCUGCAUAUGGCAAAUUAUCGUCCCAACUAGAUCCAUAAUCUAGUGCACAAGCUCUCAGCAUAUCCUCCAAAAUCUGAUUGACUCUCUUGGUCUGUCCAUCUGUCUGCGGAUGAAAAGCUGUACUGAAUUCUAGCCUGGUUCCCAAAGUUUCGUGCAACUGCUUCCAGAACUUUGAGGUAAACUGGGUUUCUCUAUCUGAUACGAUACUCCUCGGAACUCCAUGCAGACAUACUAUUCUGGUCAUGUAUAUUUUUGCCAACUUAGCACUGGUAUAAGUGGUCUUUACUGGGAUGAAAUGAGCAACUUUCGUCAAUCGAUCGACUACAACCCAAAUCAAGUCAUACCCUGAACGAGUCCUGGGCAAUCCCAUGAUAAAAUCCAUGCCUAACUUAUCCCACUUCCAUUCGGGUUUCAGCAAUGGUUGUAACAAUCCUGCUGGCUUCUGAUGCUCUACCUUUACUCUCUGGCAUACAUCACAAACUGCUACAUACUCUGCUAUUUCUUUCUUCAUUCCGGUCCACCAGAAAAUAUCCUUCAAAUCCAGAUACAUCUUGGUAUUCCCUGGGUGAAUCGAAUAGGGUGAAUCAUGGGCCUCUUGCAGAAUUAACUUCCUGAUCUCUGGGUCAUUGGGCACAUAGACACGGUCUUCAAACCAUAGGAUAUCGUGCUCAUCCUCACGAAAUCCUUUAGCUUUUCCUUCUUUCAUUUUCUCCUUUAUGGAAGCAAUCUCCUUGUCAGUCUUUUGAGCUUCCCUGAUUCUGUCCAUCAAAGUUGACUGAAUUUCCAACGUUGCUACAUAGCCUCUCGGAACUAUUUCCAAACAUAGUUCACGAAGAUUUUCUGCUAACUUCUUGGGUAUUUCUCCCGUCAUUAACGUAUUGACAUGGCUCUUGCGGCUUAAUGCAUCAGCUACUACAUUAGCCUUCCCGGGAUGAUAAUGCAAUCUCAUAUCAUAAUCCUUGAUGAGCUCCAACCAUCUCCUUUGUCUGAGAUUCAACUCCUUCUGUGUGAAAAUGCACUUCAAACUCUUAUGAUUCGUGUACACCUCAGAAUGAUUUCCGAUGAGGAAAUGUCUCCAUGUCUUCAAGGCAUGCACUACGGCUGCUAACUCCAAAUCAUGCGUAGCGUAAAUCAACUCAUGGGGCUUCAGUUGUCUUGAGGCAUAUGAAACAACUCUCCCUUCCUGCAUAACCACUGCUCCAAGUCCUCGAUGUGAAGCGUCGCAAUACACCUCAUAAUCCUUGGUCUGAUCUGGCAAAACCAACACUGGUGAGGUAACCAAGCGUUUCUUCAACUCCUGGAAACUAGCCUCACACUGCUCAGUCCAUUUAAACUUGGUAUCUUUCUUCAACAACUCCGUCAUAGGCUUCGAAAUCUUUGAAAAAAUUUCAAUAAACCUCCGCUAGUAUCCUGCGAGUCCAAGAAAACUCUGGAUCUCUCCAACGGUAGUUGGGACUUCCCACUUGGUCACGGUAUCAACUUUAGUGGGAUCAACAGCUAUACCUUCUCCAGAUAUAACGUGUCCGAGGAAUCCUACUUCCUUCAACCAAAACUCACAUUUGCUAAACUUGGCAUAUAAUUGAUGUUCUCUGAGCUUUCCAAGUACCAAACGCAAAUGUUCCUUUUAUGUUCCUCUUCAUUCUUUGAAUAAACCAGGAUCUCAUCAAUGAACACUACGACGAACUUAUCCAAAAACUCCAUAAACACUUUGUUCAUCAUGUUCAUAAAAUAGGCAGGCGCGUUAGUCAGACCAAAUGACAUAACGGUAUACUCAUACAGCCCAUACCUGGUGGUAAAAGCUGUCUUCGGAAUAUCCUGUUCUCGAAUCUUCAACUGGUGGUACCCUGAUCGCAAAUCGAUCUUGGAAAACACUUUAGCUCCUUGCAAUCAAUCAAACAGAUCAUUGAUCAUUGGUAGCGGGUACUUGUUCUUGAUUGUUACUUCAUUCAAUCCUCGAUAAUCAACAACCAUCCUUAACGAUCCAUCCUUCUUCUCUACUAAUAGUACUAGUGAUCCCCAAGGUGAAGAACUUGGGCGAAUGUAACCUUUAUCCAGUAACUCCUUAAUCUGUUUCUUAAUUUCCACCAAAUCCUUUGCUGGCAUCCUAUAUGGUCUCUUUGAUAUUGGCCCUGUGCCUUGCAAUAGCUCAAUCAAGAACUCAAUAUCUCUAUCCGGUGGCAUGCCUGGCAACUCCUCUGGAAAUACAUCAGGGAAUUCCCUUACCACUGGUACUUCCUCCUGCACAACUCCUAUUAAUGAAUUUACUUGUGUCUUGUUUGGCGCAUGCCGGGAUACAUACUUGAUCCUUCUCCCUUCUGGGGUGGUAAGCAAAAUUGACUUACUAGCACAAUCGAUGUUUCCUCCAUACAUCAACAGCCAAUCCAUACCAAGAAUCACAUCCAGACCUUGGGAUUCCAGAAUAAUUAAAUCUGUUGGGAAAACAUGCCGUCCUAUACUUAAUGGCACUUGAAAACAUCCUUGACUGGCCAUGUACUCUGCUCCUAGUGAGCUUACUAGCAUAGGUGUUCUGAGAACCCUAGUGGGUAGGCUAUACUUUUCCACAAAUCCCCUUGAUAUGUAUGAAUGCGAUGCACCAGUAUCAAAAAGAACGAGUGCAGUAAAUGGCUUAACCAAAAACUUACCUAUUACUGCAUCGGGCUGAGCUUCAACCUCCUCCACAUUAACGUGGUUCACCUGUCCCCUGUUGAGAGGGUUCGGAUUCUUUCCAGAGCUUCCAUUGCCAUUUUGGCCUUCAGGACAUUCAUUGGCAUAAUGUCCGGUCUUGGAACACUUGAAACAGGUGACUUGACUCAGAUCUCUCUUGGCUGGGGUUGAUGGGGUGCUGCGGUUCUGGCCAUUGCUUCCUCCAUUCCCAUUACCAUUCUUGGUGCCAUUGUGAUUGUGCGAGCUACCUACUCCAUGGGUAUGCUGAAAAUGUCCUCCCGGUCUAGGGGUAAAACAUGGCUUCUGCUGAGCUCCUGAAUUAUACUUUCCUUGUCCAUACUUCCUCUUGCGGUUCUCAAUUUGCUGCUGCUUCCCUUCAAUCAUAAGAGCACGGUCUACCAACUCCUGGUAGUUGUUGAAGGUGGCUACCAUCAACUGCAUACUCAACUCAUCAUUCAGUCCUUCCAGGAACUUCUCCUGCUUAGCUGCAUCCGUAGCAACGUCAUCUGGGGCAUAAUGUGCUAGCUUACUAAACUCCUCCACAUACUGGCCAACUGUCCGUCCUCCUUGGCGCAAGUUACGAAACUCACGCUUCUUCAUGGCCAUAGCUCCUGCUGAAACAUGGGCAGUACGGAAAGCCUGCUGAAACUGGUCCCAUGUGAUAGUGUCGACUGGGAAGGUGGCUGUAAAAUUCUCCCACCAUGAUGCUGCGGGUCCUUCUAACUGAUGUGCGGCAAACUUAACCUUCUCCGCAUCUGUGCAUCCUGCUGUGGUCGACUCCCUAGCUGUCUUGCGGAGCCAAUCAUCUGCUACUAUCGGCUCGGUGCUACUGGAAAACACCGGCGGGUUCAGCCUAAGAAAACGGGCUAAGUGGUCAACAAGUGGUGGUGGGGGUGGUGGGUUGUUGUUGUUGUUCCCCUGAUUCUGAUUCUGGACUAGCAACUGCAUCAAGGUGUUCUGCUGCUGGAUCAACUGGGUGAGCUCCGGUGGAAAGGCAAAUCUGGGGUCACGUCUCGGAGGCAUCUGAGGUUUAGAAGAGAUGAGAUAUAAGAAUAGAGGGGGUCCAAAGAGAAAACACUACCCAUAUGCACACAAGGCAAAAGCAAACAAUUCACUUCAUUCAAUCAAACAAAGGCAUACAAUCGAUCUAACUAUCGCAAAGUGCUCGGACUACUAUAUUUACAUGGUGGACUACUACUACUGAUGAGGUGGUCUACUAGAAAUAUUCUACGGUUGUAGACUCCAUGAUAUCUGCUCCUGCUUCAUCAACAUAGUUAGUCAUCAUCGCUACUAUCUGCUUCCGAGUCGGUGCCGUCGAUGAUGAUGUAGUCUUCCAGGCUAAUCUCCUUGGGUUCUUUGUCUUCAUCUACUGGUGUCGGGCCUCCCAUAAAUACUGCUAGCUUCAUAGUUAGGUCGGCAUUCUUAUCCACCAAUACUUCAAUUUCUUCUUCAUAACCUUCGCGUGUAGCCUUGAGUUCUUCCUCCAGUUCCUUGAUUCUAGUCUUAGCCUUCUUCAGAUCUAUCAUGUCAGCGCACAUCUGAUUCUCCUGUCGUUGAAUGUGCUGGUUUAACUCCUGGAUAAAAGCUGCGAUUGAUCUAUCCUUCAUGGUGCUAAUCAUCUCCAAGUGUUCAUCUCGGCGCCCACAAAUCUGGUAUAUAGUAUCCUUAAGAUCCUUGCGGUAGACUUCUCCAAUGCGUCCCAUGGCGAUGUAAGCUGCCAUGCUCUUUCCUAGACUCCAAGUUGGUGCAUCAAAAGAAAACUCUAUGGGCUUAGUGACUGGCAUGAACGUCCUUCCUGGGAUUUGAACUUGAAUCAUCCAGCGCUCUUCUUCAGGUAAAGUGGCGUUGUAGGUUCCCGUGAAGCUUGGUACUCCUAUGUUCAGGUAUCUAGUGACUUCCUUCAAGUGGCGUCCAAAGGGUGUAUCUUCAUCCGGUUGGGUGAACUUGUUCCUUGCAUCCGCCAUCCUAAAGAGUAGAAAAGAUGAGAGGUCAGAAGAGAAGAGAGUGAGUAGUGAUCUAGGUCUUUAGCUUAGUGGUCGUGUCCUACAGUCAGCGUGUGCUCUAAUACCAUCUCUGAAGCGACCAGACUUCAAACAGUCUGAUCUCUGUGCUCCGGUGUCAUCCCUGGAUCGGUAAUGCUGACACCACACAGUACUCGGAGGAUUUAUAGCAGAGUAGCAAUCACACACUUAUUACAUCGAGUGUCUCAAAAGAGAACUUAUUACAAUAAAUAUGGCUUAAGGCCAUCUAAUAAUAAUAACAGCGGAAGGCUUGGAAGAUAAGUGAGUCCAUCAACUCCAACGGCAUCACUGAGUAUAGAACCACGACCUAAAAACUCCUUAAUCGUCGUCUGAAAAGUCUGCAACAUUAACGUUGCAGCCCGAAAAUGGGUCAGCACAUGGAAUAUGCUGGCAAGGUAACACAUAGAGAGUAAUGGAAUGCAACAGCUAUACUAUAUGCAUAUUUGGCUGGUGGAAAGCUCUAUGGUUAUAGUUUUGCAUAAAGCCAAUUUUUCCCUACUUCAAAAGGAAUAAAUUUAAUUACUAUCAUGGUGGUUGUUAAACAUUGAGAAUGGUUGACAGCAUUCUCAAUCCCAAUUAAGCAUCAUCAUUAACCCAACAACAUUAAUUUUAGAGUAACAUGUUGAGAUUCACAUGAUAAUCCAGAUACUAGAUACUCAAGAUGUCCAUAUCCGGGGACACGGCUAAUCAUGAUUAGUUUGUUACACUCUGCAGAGGUUUGCACACUUUUCCCCACAAGACUCGAUCGCCUCCAUUGGAUUUCUCGCACUACAUGGUGUUUGAGAAACGGAUGACCGAGACACAGUCUUUCAGAAGCGCUAGCACCUUACGAUGGAUAGACCGGUACACCUACUUUCCCCUACAUCUGCUAGUCUACCCUGUAAGAGUUCACAUGACUUAAUCAAUUAUGCCAGAGCCCAUAAUGGCUUGUGGCUGCACACGGAAGUUUCUAGUUUGAAAAAUCUCAUGAUCCCUUUGAGCCUAGGUGGCGGUCCAAAAGAAAACAGGCAUGUCCUGGACUACCCAGGUGCCUCAAUCCAUCCAGAUGUGUAUUUAAGUUGCCACCUUAUAUAAACCAUUAAUUAUCAAUCUCACAUCUGUCAUGGAUUUCACUCACACAAUCCACGUCUACUAGCAUAGCAUGGCAUAAUAAGCAAACGUAGAAGUAACUCCCAAAGGUUUGAUAAUAAACAGGUAAUAGGUACUACCUCAUCUACUUCCCAUCCCACAGUUUAAUUAGAUCCUAAUCAUGCAAUGAGUGAAGAUUGAUCUAAUGCAAAAAAACUGGGUUGUAGAAAAGGUAUGAUCAAAGUGUUACUUGCCUUGUUGAUGAUCCGUGAAACCUAACGAUUCGAAGUAACAGGCGGCGCACUCUGGGUACUCUAUCGCAGGCAAACAAACAAGCAUACAAUAAGUACUCAUCUAAUGCACAGGUAAAACUCAAAUAAGAGAUCUAACUAGAAGGUUCAACUUAAGAACUCCAGUUGGCAAAAAGAAUCAAAUGGAACGAAGCAAAGAAAGUCAAACGGCGAAAGAAAACAACUUCGUUCUAGUAAUCUGAACCUAAGUCAAAUUUUACAGUAACAAAAACUUGUUUAAGUUGAUUAUUUGGAUAGAGGGUUUCGAGACGAAACUCCAGGCGUUUCAAUCGCCUGAUUCCAAUAAACGAGCGAAAAGAAAAACUAAAACGAAAAUCGGAUCAGAAAUCGCGAUCAGAAAAUAACCGCGGAAAAAUCCGACGAAAAAGAAAAAUGACGAACGGAUUUUUUUUUUUAAAAAAGGCACGGAUUUCGACGUGCGGCGAACCUCGGGCGACGCGCGGNNNNNNNNNNNNNNNNNNNNNNNNNNNNNNNNNNNNNNNNNNNNNNNNNNNNNNNNNNNNNNNNNNNNNNNNNNNNNNNNNNNNNNNNNNNNNNNNNNNNNNNNNNNNNNNNNNNNNNNNNNNNNNNNNNNNNNNNNNNNNNNNNNNNNNNNNNNNNNNNNNNNNNNNNNNNNNNNNNNNNNNNNNNNNNNNNNNNNNNNNNNNNNNNNNNNNNNNNNNNNNNNNNNNNNNNNNNNNNNNNNNNNNNNNNNNNNNNNNNNNNNNNNNNNNNNNNNNNNNNNNNNNNNNNNNNNNNNNNNNNNNNNNNNNNNNNNNNNNNNNNNNNNNNNNNNNNNNNNNNNNNNNNNNNNNNNNNNNNNNNNNNNNNNNNNNNNNNNNNNNNNNNNNNNNNNNNNNNNNNNNNNNNNNNNNNNNNNNNNNNNNNNNNNNNNNNNNNNNNNNNNNNNNNNNNNNNNNNNNNNNNNNNNNNNNNNNNNNNNNNNNNNNNNNNNNNNNNNNNNNNNNNNNNNNNNNNNNNNNNNNNNNNNNNNNNNNNNNNNNNNNNNNNNNNNNNNNNNNNNNNNNNNNCUAGGGUUAGGGUUCGGGCGGCGACUGCUGGUGGGCUGGCUCGGGCCCGAGGCGCGUCUUAUAAAGCCCCCCGGCCGGCAGAGUUCUGGCCGGUUACGGCCCGUACUCGGUUGCGUUUUUUUUCGCUCGGAAGAAAAAUAAAAAGAAAUACUAAACGGACUCCAAAAAUCCCGAAAUAAGUUUUCCCGGGCUUCUAAAAUCAAGCCCGACAAAGUGAACAUUUAUUUGGGCCCUAAAUGCAAUUUUGAAAAACGUGCAUUUUUCCUAAUUCAAAUAAAAACAACAAAACAAAAAAAAACUCUGAAAUAAAACUAUUUGAUUUUUUAUUAAAUCCUCAAUAUUUCUAUAUUUUGGGAAAGUCAUUUUAUUCCCUCUCUCAUAUUUUUGUAAUAGAAAUAAUUGAUCAUAAAAUAAAUAAAAUCAAAUGAUCCUAUUCUCAAAAUUUGAGAAAACUCAAAUAUGAAAAUAACGAAAUCCCCAACUCUCUCCGUGGGUCCUUGAGUUGCUUAGAAUUUUCUAGGAUCAAAACCCAAAGCAAAUAAAAUAUGAUAUGCAUGAUGAUCUAAUGUAUAACAUUCCAAAUUGAAAAUUUGGGAUGUUACAGAGCGUGUGUUAUGUUUUCUCUCCCAUUGCAACGCACGGGUUCUUUUGCUAGUAAUAUAGAAGUGAAUAAUAAAGCCCAAUAAUGUCCAAAACAAAAGAUAAUAUAGCAUGGAGCAAUAAAAAAUUAUAGAUACGUUGGAGAUGGAUCAAACAUCCCCAAGCUUAAUUCCUGCUCGUCCUCGAGUUGGUAAAUGAUAAAAACAGAAUUUUUGAUGUGGAAUGCUACUAGGCAUAAUUUCAAUGUAAUUUUAUUAAUUGUGGCAUGAAUAUUCAGAUCCGAAAGAAUCAAGAUAAAAGUUUAAUAUUGACAUAGAAAUAAUAAUAGUUCAAGCAUACUAACUAAGCAAUUAUGUCUUCUCAAAAUAACAUGGCCAAAGAAAGUUCAUCCCUACAAAAUCAUAUAGUUUAGUCAUGCUCCAUUUUCGUCACACAAGAAUGCUCUCAUCAUGCACAACCCCAAUGACAAGCCAAUCAAGUGUUUCAUACUUUAGUAAUCUCAAACUUUAUAAACCUUCAUGCAAUACAUGAGCGUGAGCCAUGGAUAUAGCACUAUGGGUAGAAUAGAAUAUAAUGAUGGGGGUUAUGUGGAGAAGACAAAAAAAGGAGAAAGUCUCACAUCAACGAGGCUAAUCAAUGAGCUAUGGGAUGCCCAUCGAUUGAUGUUAAUACAAGGAGUAGGGAUUGCCAUGCAACGGAUGCACUAGAGCUAUAAAUGUAUGAAAGCUCAACAAAAGAAACUAAGUGGGUGUGCAUCCAACUUGCUUGCUCAUGAAGACCUAGGGCACUUGAAGAGGCCCAUUAUUGGAAUAUACAAGCCAAGUUCUAUAACGAAAAAUUCCCACUAGUAUAUGAAAGUGAAAAAACAAAAGACUCUCUAUCAUGAAGAUUAUGGUGCUACUUUGAAGCACAAGUGUGGCAAAGGAUAGUAGCAUUGUCCCUUCUCUCUUUUUCUCUCAUUUUUUUAUUUGGGCCUUCUCUUUUUUACGGCCUUUCUCUUUUUUUAUAUAUAUUCCUCACUUGGGACAAUGCUCUAGAAAAUGAUGAUCAUCACACUUCUAUUUAUUUACAACUCAAUCAUUACAACUCGAUGCUAGAACAAAAGAUGACUCUAUAUGAAUGCCUCUGGCGGUGUACCAGGAUAUGCAAUGAAUCAAGAGUGACAUGUAUGAAAAUUAUGAACGGUGGCUGUGCCACAAAUACUAUGUCAACUACAUGAUCAUGCUAAGCAAUAUGACAAUGAUGAAUGUGUCAUGAUAAAAGGAAUGGUGGAAAGUUGCAUGGCAAUAUAUCUCGGAAUGGCUAUGGAAAUGCCAUAAUGGUAGGUAUGGUGGCUGUUUUGAGGAAGAUAUAAGGAGGUUUAUGUGUGAAAGAGUGUAUCAUAUCACGGGGUUUGGAUGCACCGGCGAAGUUUGCACCAACUCUCAAUGUGAGAAAUGGCAAUGCAUGGUACCAAAGAGGCUAGCAAUGAUGGAAGGGUGAGAGUGCGUAUAAUCCAUGGACUCAACAUUAGUCAUAAAGAACUCGCAUACUUAUUGCAAAAAUCUACAAGUCAUCAAAAACCAAAGCACUACAUGCAUGCUCCUAGGGGGAUAGAUUGGUAAGAAAAGACCAUCGCUCGUCCCCGACCGACACUCAUAAGGAAGACAAUCAAAGAACACCUCAUGUUUCAAAUUUGUUACACAAUGUUUGCCAUACGUGCAUGCUAUGGGACUUGCAAACUUCAACACAAGAAAUUCACAAAUUCACAACUACUCAACUAGCACGACUUUGAUAUUAUUACCUCCAUAUCUCAAAACAAUCAUCAAGCAUCAAACUUCUCUUAGUAUUUAAAACACUCAUAGGAAUUUUUUUACUAAUCUUGAAUACCUAGCAUAUUAGGAUUAUUUAAGCAAAUUUCCAUGCUAUUUAAGACUCUAAAAAUAAUCUAAGUUAAGCAUGAGAGAUCAAUAGUUUCUAUAAAACAAAUCCACCACUGUGCUCUAAAAGAUAUAAGUGAAGUACUAGAGCAAAACUAUAUAACUCAAAAGAUAUAAGCGAAGCACAUAGAGUAUUCUAACAAAUUCCAAAUCAUGUAUGGCUCUCUCAAAAGGUGUGUACAGCAAGGAUGAUUGUGGUAAACUAAAAGGCAAAGACUAAAAUCAUACAAGACGCUCCAAGCAAAACACAUAUCAUGUGGUGAAUAAAAAUAUAGCUCCAAGUAAAGUUACCGAUAGAAGUAGACGAAAGAGGGGAUGCCUUCCGGGGCAUCCCCAAGCUUUGUCUUUUAGGUGUCCUUAUAUUAUCUUGGGGGUUCCAUGGGCAUCCCAAAGCUUAGGCUCUUGCAACUACUUGUUCCAUAAUCCAUCAAAUCUUCACCCAAAACUUGAAAACUUCACAACACAAAACUCAAAGUAGAAAAUCUCAUGAGCUCCGUUAGCGAAAGAAAACAAAAGACCACUUCAAGGAACUGUAAUGAACUCAUUGUUUCUUUAUAUUGGUUUUAAACCUACUGUAUUCCAACUUCUCUAUGGUUUAUAAACUAUUUUACUAGCCAUAGAUUCAUCAAAAUAAGCAAACAACACACGAAAAACAGAAUUUGUCAAAAACAGAACAGUCUGUAGUAAUCUGUAGCUAGCGCAAGAUCUGGAACCCAAAAAUUCUAAAAUAAAUUUCUGGACGUGAGGAAUUUAUCUAUUAAUCAUCUUUAAAAAGAAUUAACUAAAUAGAACUUCCCAAAUAAAAAUGGCAGCAGUUCUCAUGAGUGCUAAAGUUUCUGUUUUUUACAGCAAUUAUGUCUUCUCAAAAUAACAUCGCUAAAGCAAGUUCAUCCCUACAAAAUCAUAUAGUUUAGUCAUGCUCCAUUUUUGUCACACAAGAAUACUCUCAUCAUGCACAACCCCGAUGACAAGCCAAGCAAUUGUUUCAUACUUUAGCAAUCUCAAACCUAUAAACUUUCACGCAAUAUAUGAGCAUGAGCCAUGGACAUAGCACUAUGGGUGGAAUAGAAUAUAAUGAUGGGGGUUAUGUGGAGAAGACAAAAAGGAGAAAGUCUCGCAUCAACGAGGCUAAUCAAUGGGCUAUGGAGAUGCCCAUCGAUUGAUGUUAAUGCAAGGAGUAGGGAUUGCCAUGCAACGGAUGCACUAGAGCUAUAAAUGUAUGAAAGCUCAACAAAAGAAACUAGUGGGUGUGCAUCCAACUUGCUUGCUCAUGAAGACCUAGGGCACUUGAGGAGUUCCAUUGUUGGAAUAUAGAAGCCAAGUUCUAUAAUGAAAAUUCCCACUUGUAUAUGAAAGUGACAAAACAAGAGACUCUCUAUCGUGAAGAUAAUGGUGCUACUUUGAAGCACAAGUGUGGUAAAAGGAUAGUUGCAUUGUCCCUUUUCAUUUUUUUGGGGGGGUGGCUUCUUUUUUUGGGAAUUUCUCUUUUUUUUCCUUUUUUUAUUGGGACAAUGCUCUAUUAAAUGAUGAUCAUCACACUUCUAUUUAUUUACAACUCAAUGAUUACAACUCGAUACUAGAACAAGGUAUGACUCUAUAUGAAUGCCUCCGACGGUGUACUGGGAUAUGCAAUGAACCAAGAGUGACAUGUAUGAAAGAAUUAUGAAUGGUGGCUUUGCCACAAAUACUAUGUCAACUACAUGAUCAUGUUAAACAAUAUGACAAUGAUGAACAUGUCAUGAUAAACUGGAUGGUGGAAAGUUGCAUGGCAAUAUAUCUCGGAAUGGCUAUGGAAAUGCCAUAAUAGGUAGGUAUGGUGGCUGUUCUGAGGAAGAUAUAAGGAGGUUUAUGUGUGAAAGAGCGUAUCAUAUCAUGGGGUUUGGAUGCACGGGCGAAGUUUGCACCAACUCUCAAUGUGAGAAAGGGCAAUGCAAGGUACCGAAGAGGCUAGCAAUGAUGGAAAGGUGAGAGUGCAUAUAAUCCAUGGACUCAACAUUAGUCAUAAAGAACUCAUAUACUUAUUGCAAAAAUCUACAAGUCAUCAAAAACCAAGCACUACGCGCAUGCUCCUAGGGAGAUAGAUUGGUAGGAAAAGACCAUCGCUCGUCCCCGACCGCCACUCAUAAGAAGGACAAUCAAAGAACACCUCAUGUUUCAAAUUUGUUACAUAACGUUUACCAUACGUGCAUGCUACGGGACUUGCAAACUUCAACACAAGUAUUUCUCAAAUUCACAACUACUCAACUAGCACAACUUUAAUAUCACUACCUCCAUAUCACAAAACAAUCAUCAAGCAUCAAACUUCUCUUAGUAUUCAGAACACUCAUAAGAAAGUUUUUACUAAUCUUGAAUACCUAGCAUAUUAGGAUUAUUUAAGCAAAUUACCAUGAUAUUUAAGACUCUCAAAAUAAUCUAAGUGAAUCAUGAGAUAUCAAUAGUUUCUAUAAAACAAAUCCACCACCGUGCUCUAAAAGAUAUAAGUGAAGUACUAGAGUAAAACUAUAUAACUCAAAAGAUAUAAGUGAAGCACAUAGAGUAUUCUAAUAAUUUCCGAAUCAUGUGUGUCUCUCUCAAAAGGUGUGUACAGAAAAGAUGAUUGUGGUAAACUAAAAAGCAAAGACUCAAAUCAUACAAGACGCUCCAAGCAAAACACAUAUCAUGUGGUGAAUAAAAAUAUAGCUCCAAGUAAAGUUACCCAUGGAAGUAGACGAAAGAUGGGAUGCCUUCCGGGGCAUCCCCAAGCUUUGGCUUUUUUGUGUCCUUCGAUUAUCUUGGUGGUGCCAUGGGCAUCCCCAAGCUUAGGCUCUUGCCACUCCUUGUUCCAUAAUCCAUCAAAUCCUUACCCAAAACUUGAAAACUUCACAACACAAAACUUAAAGUAGAAAAUCUCGUGAGCUCUGUUAGCGAAAGAAAACAAAACACCACUUCAAGGUACUGUAAUGAACUCAUUCUUUAUUUAUAUUGGUGUUAAACCUACUGUAUUGCAACUUCUCUAUGGUUUAUAAACUAUUUUACUAGCCAUAGAUUCAUCAAAAUAAGCAAACAACACACAAAAAACAGAAUCUGUCAAAAACAGAACAGUCUUUAGUAAUCUGUAGCUAGAGCAAGAUCUGGAACCCCAAAAAUUCUAAAAUAAAUUUAUGAACGUGAGGAAUUAAGCUAUUAAUCAUAUGCAAAAAGAAUUAGCUAAAUAUAACUUUCCAAAUAAAAAUGGCAGCAGUUCUCGUCAGCAUUAAAGUUUCUGUUUUUACAGCAAGAUUAACAAGAAUUUCCCCAAGUCUUCCCAAUGGUUCUACUUGGCACAAACACUAAUUAAACACAAAAAACACAACCAAAACAGAGGCUAGAUAAAUUAUUUAUUACUAAACUAGAGCAAAAAGCAAGGAAUAAAAAUAAAAUUGGGUUGCCUCCCAACAAGUGCUAUCGUUUAACGCCCCUAGCAAGGCAUAAAAAGCAAGGAUAGAUCUAGGUAUUGCCAUCUUUGGUAGGCAAUCCAUAAGUGGCUCUCAUAAUAGAUUCAUAAGGUAAUUUAAUUUUAUUUCUAGGAAAGUGUUCCAUGUUUUUCUCUAGCGGAAAUUGGAAUCUAAUAUUUCCUUCCUUCAUAUCAAUAAUUGCACCAAUCGUUCUAAGGAAAGGUCUACCAAGAAUAAUAGGACAUGAAGGAUUGCAAUCUAUGUCAAGAACAAUAAAAUAUACGGGCACAUAGUUCCUAUUUGCAACAAUAAGAACAUCAUUAAUUCUUCCCAUAGGUUUCUUAAUAGUGGAAUCCGCAAGGUGCAAGUUUAAAGAGCAAUCAUCAAAAUCAUGGAAACCUAACAAAUCACACAAAGUCUUAGGAAUCGUGGAAACACUAGCACCCAAAUCACACAAAGCAUAGCAUUCAUGAUCUUUAGUUUUAAUUUUAAUAGUUGGUUCCCACUCAUCAUAAAGUUUUCUAGGGAUAGAAACUUCCAACUCAAGUUUUUCUUCAUAAGAUUGCAUCAAAGCAUCAACGAUAUGUUUGGUAAAAGCUUUAUUUUGACUAUAACCAUGGGGAGAAUUUAGCACGGAUUGCAACAAGUAAAUACAAUCUAUCAAAGAGCAGCUAUCAUAAUUAAAUUCCUUGAAAUCCAAAAUAGUAGGUUCGUUAACAUCUAGAGUUUUGAUCUCUUCAAGCCCACUUUUAUCAAAUUUAGCAUCAAGAUCUAAAAACUCCGAAUUUUUGGAACGCCUUCUAGGUAAAGGUGGAUCAUAUUCAGUCCCAUCAUUAUCAAGAUUCAUAUUGCAAAACAAAGAUUUAAUAGGGGACACAUCAAUAACUUUUAGAUCUUCAUCUUUAUUAUCAUGGAAACUAGAAGAACACACUCUUAUAAAGGAAUCUUUCUUAGCACGCAUCCUAGCGGUUCUUUCUUUGCACUCAUCAAUGGAAAUUCUCAUGGCUUUGAGAUACUCAUUGAUAUCAUGCUUAGGAGGAAUAGAUCUAAGUUUUAAAGAAUCAACAUCAAGAGAAAUUCUAUCAACUUUCCUAGCCAAAUCAUCAACUUUAAGCAAUUUCUCCUCAAGCAAAGCAUUGAAAUUCUUUUGUGAACUCAUAAAUUCCUUAACACUAGUCUCAAAUUCAGAGGGCAUCUUAUUAAAAUUUCCAUAAGAAUUGUUGUAGGAAUUACCAUAAUUAUUAGAGGAAUUACUAGGAUAAGGCCUAGGAUUAAAGCUUCCUCUAUACGCGUUGUUACCAAAAUUAUUCCUACCAACAAAAUUCACAUCCAUAGAUUCAUUAUUAUUCUCAAUCAAAGUAGACAAAGGCAUAUCUUUAGGAUCAGAAGAAACACUCUUAGUAGCAAAUAAUUUCAUAAGUUCAUCCAACUUUCCACUCAAAACAUUAAUUUCUUCUAUCACAUGCACUUUUUUAUUAGUAGAUCUUUCAGUGUGCCAUUGAGAAUAAUUAACCAUAAUAUUAUCUAGUAGUUUAGUAGCUUCUCCUAAAGUGAUUUCCAUAAAAGUGCCUCUCGCGGCCGAAUCUAAAAGAUUUCUAGAAGAAAAAUUCAAUCCGGCAUAAAAAUUUUGUAUAAUCAUCCACAAAUUCAAACAUGUUUUGGGCAAUUACGUAUCAUUAAUUUCAUCCUCUCCCAAGCUUGUGCAAAAUGUUCAUGAUCAAGUUGCUUAAAAUUCAUAAUAUCAUUUCUAAGAGAGAUGAUCUUAGCGGGAGGAAAAUACUUAGAGAUAAAAGCAUCUUUGCACUUAUUCCAAGAAUCAAUACUAUUUUUAGGCAAAGACGAAAACCAAGCUUUAGCACGAUCUCUAAGCGAAAAAGGAAAUAGCUUCAAUUUAACAAUAUCAUUGUCCACAUCUUUCUUCUUUUGCAUAUCACAUGAAUCAACAAAGCUAUUUAGAUGGGUAGUGGCAUCUUCACUAGGAAGGCCGGAAAACGGAUCUUUCAUGACAAGAUUCGGCAAGGCAGCAUUAAUUUCACAAGAUUCAGCAUCGGUAAGAGGAGCAAUCAGAGUGCUAAUAAAAUCAUUGUUGUUGGUAUUGGUAAAGACACACAAUUUAGAGUUAUCUUGAGCCAUCAUGACAAGCAAGCAAUCCAACACACAAGCAAACGAGGAACGGGCAAAAGAGAGGCAAAUAGAGAAAGAGAGGGAGGAUAGAGAGAGAGGGAGAAUAAAACAGCAAGGGUGAAGUGGGGGAGGAAAAUGAGAGGCAAAUGGAAAAUAAUGUAAUGCGGGAGAUAAGGGUUUGUGAUGGGUACGUGGUAUCUUGACUUUUGCGUAGACCUCCCCAGCAACGGCGCAUGAAAUCCUUCUUUCUACCUCUUGAGCACUGCGUUGGUUUUCCCUUGAAGAGGAAAGGGUGAUGCAGCAAAGUAGCGUAAGUAUUUCCCUCAGUUUUUGAGAACCAAGGUAUCAAUCUAGUAGGAGGUUACGCGCGAGUCCCUCACACCUACACAAAACAAAUAAAUCCUCGCAACCAACGCGAUAAGGGGUUGUCAAUCCCUACACGGUCACUUACUACAGUGAGAUCUGAUAGAUAUGAUAAGAUAAUAUUUUUGGUGUUUUUAUGAUAAAGAUGCAAAGUAAAAUAAAAGGCAAUGAAAAUAACUAAGUGUUAGAAGACUAAUAUGAUGGAAAAUAGACCCGGGGGCCAUAGGUUUCACUAGUGGCUUCUCUCAAGAGCAUAAGUAUUUUACGGUGGGUGAACAAAUUACUGUUGAGCAAUUGACAGAAUUGAGCAUAGUUAUGAGAAUAUCUAGGUAUGAUCAUGUAUAUAGGCAUCACGUUCGAGACAAGUAGACCGGGUCCUGCCUGCAUCUACUACUAUUACUCCACACAUCGACCACUAUCCAGCAUGCAUCUCGAGUAUUAAGUUCAUAAGAACAGAGUAACACUUUAAGCAAGAUGACAUGAUGUAGAGGGAUAAAUUCAUGCAAUAUGAUAAAAAAAACAUCUUGUUAUCCUCGAUGGCAACAAUAUAAUACGUGCCUUGCUGCCCCUACUGUCACUUGGAAAGGACACCGCAAGAUUGAAUCCAAAGCUAAGCACUUCUCCCAUUGCAAGAAAGAUCAAUCUAGUAGGCUAAACCAAACUGAUAAUUCGAAGAGACUUGCAAAGAUAACCAAUCAUACAUAAAAGAAUUCAGAAAAGAUUCAAAUAUUGUUCAUAGAUAAACUUGAUCAUAAACCAACAAUUCAUCGGUCUGAACAAACACACAGCAGAAGAAGAUUACCUUGAAUAGAUCUCCACGAGAGAGGGGGAGAACAUUGUAUUGAGAUCCAAAAAGAGAUAAGAAGCCAUCUAGCUAAUAACUAUGGACCCAAAGGUCUGAGGUAAACUACUCACACAUCAUCAGAGAGGCCAUGUUGUUGAUGUAGAAGCCCUCUGUGAUCGAUGCCCCCUCCGGCGGAGCUCCGGAACAGGCCCCAAGAUGGGAUCUCGUGGAUACAGAAAGUUAUGGCGGUGGAAUUAGGGUUUUGGCUCCGUAUCUGAUCGUUUGGGGGUAUGUAGGUAUAUACAGGAGGAAGGAGUACGUCGAUGGAGCAAUAGGGGGGCCACGAGGGUGGAGGGCGCGCCUGGGGGGGUAGGCGCGCCCCCCUACCUCCUGGCUUCCCUGUUGGUUGCUUGACGUAGGGUCCAAGUCUCUUGGAUCAUGUUCGUUCCGAAAAUCACGUUCCUGAAGGUUUCAUUCCGUUUGGACUCCGUUUGAUAUUCUUUUUCUGCGAAACUCUGAAAUAGGCAAAAAAACAGCAAUUCUGGGCUGGGCCUCCGGUUAAUAGGUUAUUCCAAAAAAUAAUAUAAAAGUGAAUAAUAAAGCCCAAUAAUGUGCAAAACAGAAGAUAAUAUAGCAUGGAGCAAUCAAAAAUUAUAGAUACGUUGGAGACGUAUCAGUCAUCCUGAUAAGGUUCAUUGUCAAUGAGGUGUAUGAAAAAUGAACCAAGAGUAUCAAGUUCUACCUCUGAGUCCGGAUUAUCAAGAUCCUUGUCGAGUUAAGCCCAGUGGAUUCGGAUGCUUUCUUCUUGGCAGAUUUUUUGACGACCUUUGUUUUGGGUCGAGGGGUCUUGGCCGGUUUAUCCUGAGGUUUCUUCUUCCAAAAUGGGUCGUCACCCUGUUAAAAGAUUGGCAAAGGUUAUAAGGAAGAGUUAAGAAUGUCUGGUUCAAAUUGGAGUUAAGCAAUUCUUACAGCUAGCGGUUUAUUCAAAACGCAGAAGGGACUUAGCCCUGUUUUGCUACAGACAGCCACCGAUUCAUCCAGUAUCUUUUUAACAGCUUCAGUGAUUUCAGCGUCAGUUAACUAAAUGUCAGUGUGCCAUUGAGGAUCUUUUGAGUCCCCUGUGUACUUGCACAUUAAACCGGGGCGACAGCUUAAAGGAAAAAUACUCCAAGAUAUCCACCACCGAACAAAGUCAAUUCCUGUUAAACCGUUAGCCAUAAAGGCUCUGAGCUUUGCAAGUUGUGGUGCAUAUUUGGCCCGUUCUUUUGCAGUCAACCUUUGGGGAAAUGGAUGUGUAUUGGUAAGUCGGUGAGCACGAUAACCCGGCAGAGGAUUCUCAUCAUCAGGGGGAGUAUCAUUGCAAUAGAACCAAGUCUGGUUCCAAUCCUUAGGGUGACUAUGAUGCUUGGCGUGAGGGAAGCUGGCGUCUUUCCUUUCCUGAAUUGAAAUGCCGCCAAGUUCAGUAUUGGGCCCGUCUACAAAUUCGGUAUGGCAGUUUAAAUAGAAAAAGUCCCUGAACAGUUCAACGGUCGGUUCUUCUUAUAGAUAAGCCUCGCAAAACACUUGAAAAUUACAAAUAUUGGACACAGAGUUAGCUCCAAUAUCUUGCGGGUGGAUCUGGAAGCUAGCAAGCACAUCACGAAAAAACUUUGAUCCAGGAGGUUUAAAACCACGGUUCAGAUGAUCAACAAACAGAACUAUCUCGCCAUCCUUGGGCUCAGGAGGAUUUUCUGGGCCGAGGGCUCGUCAGUGGAUUUCACUCUAUUUUGGUAAAGCGCCAGUUAUAACACAUCCUUUCAGAUCUUCUUCCGUAAUCCGGGAUGGAACCCAGUUGCAAGCAUAAAAAGUCUUGGCCAUUUUUUGGACAACCUGAAGGAAGGUUUGUGCCGGGUUAAGAUUCAUGGUUAACAAGCAUAAAGCAUUGCAAGUUAAGAGACAAAAGGUAUUCAGGCAUGCAAAAUUGUUAAACCGGAGGUUGAUGCUAUUAUAAAUGAUAAAGCGGUUGGCGGUUUACAAGGGGACUAAUGGUAUAUGGCAGGUUAUUUUCUAAAAGAUAAACCGCCUACACGGACAAUGAGAGUAUAGAUCUGAAGCAAAAAAAUGAUUAAGUGAGGAAGAACAAGUUUCACAGUUUCACAUUAGAAUUUCAGAUCUACCGCAUGUCAGCAAAAGGAAGACAUUUAGACCUAAAAGUUGGUGCUGGAGCAGUUCAUGAAGUUCCAGAUCGGGCUUUUCUACAUAAAAGAGAUAAUCUGAUGACAAAAGAAGGACUAUCAUUGUUACCGCACAAGGAUAUAUUAGGUUUGGAAUCUAUCAUGUAGGCUAUGAUGAAGAACAAGGGAAAAAACCACGAAAACUUCCAUGAGCCCGUAUGAACCCUAAACAGAUCUAUAGAGAAGAAGAAGAAGAACUUACUGAAACUAUUGAAUGGCGGAGGUGCGUGAGCAGGGUCUGGUCCGAACAGGUCGAUGCAGUGGCCAAAGUUGAAGCAGAGGUGAAGUCCGACGGCGGCGGCGGAGCUCGAGAGCUCGAGCGACGCAAGGAAGAUGAGGAGACGAAGAGGCACGAGGGGAAAAUGAAAAUGACCCUCGGCCCUAUUUAUAAGAUGAAUGGAUAAGUGGCAGGCAUGAGAAUCGAGGAGGUUGAAAAAUGGAUAUGCAGACAUGCAGACGCCUCGAUUUUCGGAGAUCCAUUAAAGAAGAUGCAUUAAAAGAUUUGGGUUCUAUGUAAAGUUAAUAGUGGAUGAUGUCACGAUAGGUUAUCAUGGUCUUGGAAGGUGAUGUCACGGUGGUUUACAAGAUUUUUGUGAAGAUAUUGAAGGCGGAAUUUUCCUCAGUGUUGAAGAUUGACAUGAACAGGUUCAAAUCAAUCUGGGGCUUAAUGUUGGGGAUAUAACUACUGAUUAUAAACCACCCAGGAGGGGCCGGGUUAUACCUAUAAGGAGUUAUCCAUAUUGAAGCCCAUGAAGACAAGGAGCAUGGCUGAGGGAGUCCUGGAUUAGGGGGUGUCCGGAUGGCCGGACUAUACCUUCAGCCGGACUCCUGGACUAUGAAUAUACAAGAUUGAAGACUUCGUCCCGUGUCCGGAAGGGACUUUCCUUGGCGUGGAAGGCAAGCUUUGCGAUACGGAUAUGUAGAUCUCCUACCAUUGUAACCGACUUUGUGUAACCCUAACCCUCUUCGGUGUCUAUAUAAACCGGAGGGUUUUAGUCCGUAGGACGACAUACAGAACAACAAUCAUACCAUAGGCUAGCUUCUAGGGUUUAUCCUCUCUGAUCUCGUGGUAGAUCUACUCUUGUACUACCCAUAUCAUCAAUAUUAAUCAAGCAAGAUGUAGGGUUUUACCUCCAUCAAGAGGGCAUGAACCUGGGUAAAACUUCGUGUCCCUUGCCUCCUGUUACCAUCCGGCCUAGACACACAGUUCGGGACUCCCUACCCGAGAUCCGCCGGUUUUGACACCGACAUUGGUGCUUUCAUUGAGAGUUCCUCUAUGUCGUCGCCAUUAGGAAGGAUGCCCUGCCCUGUCUUUAAAGAUGGCACCGUUGCUAAGGGAGAUUUGGCUGUCGGCCAAACCCUCCAGCUAGGUGGUUUUCUUAUGACCGCCUGUUCGGCUUCUGCGCCGACGAUGACCUCUCGAUCCAUCGAAAACAAUCUUUAUGUCAGCUCGGAACUCGCCGAGCAGUUAGAUCCAAUGGAGCUCUCCUCCAUAAGCGAGCUCUUGGAUCGCAUCGCCGCCCUGGGAGUCGCUACGGAUUACGACCAGAUUGGGCCUAAACCCGAUCUGAGAGAGAUUAACUCUCCCGAAGUCACCCAUCAUGUUGCCGUGGUAGAGGGACAGUGUGGCGACCCUUCAUCUAUCUUAAGGACUAGCUACGUCCGGACUCCCGAUCCCUCCAAGCCGGAUACCCGCGGAGGGGAGGAUAUCACUCAAGACCUGAACUUAGAGUCAGGCGACGGGCUGGAUUCAUUGGACAACAUCCAGGAAUCCAAAUUUUCGAGUUCGGAAAUUCCUCGGCCUCUGAGCCUCAGAUUGGGUGAGGCUUUGGAUUUAAUUCCACCCACACACCCAAACAUAAGCGAUCUAUCCCAAAUCAGGCAAGAGCCCGAUGAAACAAUACAUCAUUACUGGGCCAGAUUCCUCCUGGUUAGGAACAGAAUAAGGGACUGCCGCGAGGAAGACACAAUCUCAAUCUUCGGCAAUAAUUGCACGGAUAAGGGAAUCCUCAAUGCCAUAAGUCGCUGUGAUAUUACACGCUUCGCUGACUUAGCAUCCAUUGUACGAAAGUACAGUCCGAUGGAAAGCGCCUAGAAAACCGAAAUAAAAUUUUGGGACGAUCCGGCCCUGGAUACAAACCCAGUCCGAAAUAAAAGGGUGCAUCAUCGCCAGACACCCGGGUCAAACACCAAAAAGCAAAAACCCUCUACAGGGCAUGGAACCGUACUGGAAGGAUGGCUUAAUGGACCCUAUAAAAUUCACAGUACAGAGGAUGCCACACCAACUCACAGCCUUAGAGCAUGUUGGAUACUCCGGCAGGUGGCCAAAAUUGGUGAAGAUCUCCUAAUUCCGGAGGCCACAGAAAGCCACCCAGAGACACCAAUACGGUAUUAACAGUCUUCGAGACUUUCGCAUCAAAUAAUAUGCGAAAAAGGACACUCCGCAGCCUUGCCAAAGUCUACAAAGUAGCAACAAUAAACCCAAGGAGUGACACGGCUAUUACCUUUAACGCCAGUGAUGAACCUAAAUUCCGAACAGCCCGAGCACCGGCCGCAUUGGUCCUCAGUCCAAUAGUGGACGGCUUUCGUCUUACCAAGGUACUCAUGGACGGCGGCAGCGGAUUGAACCUCAUUUAUGAGGAAACCCUUCAAAAAAUGGAAAUAGACUGGAACCGCAUUGAGCGAAGCAGCACAACCUUUAGAGGAAUAAUCCCAAGUCGGGAAGCACGUUGUACAGGAAAAAUCACACUAGAUGUGGUGUUCGGCACGCCGGAUAAUUACAGGUCCAAAGAGGUCAUGUUCCACGUGGCUCCGUCCAGCAGCGGUUAUCAUGCUCUGCUAGGGCGGGAAGCGUUUACAAUCUUCCAAGCAAUACCCCAUUACAGGUACAUGAAGCUCAAGAUGCCCGGGCCUAACGGGAUCAUCACUCUCGCUAGUGAUCCGGACAUAGCACUCCGCGCUGAAAACAAGACAGCCGCACUGGCCCUCGAGGCACUAUCCGAAGCCCUAGUGGCUGAGGAACUGACUAUGCUGCGCUCCACAGUGAAUAGGGACGAUGUGGUACUCGACAAAAGAACCAAGUCCACCUCCUUUAAACGGGCGGACGAAAUAGUCAAAUUCUAGGUCCAUCCAACGGACCCCAAUAAAACAGCUUCCAUCGGGGCACAGUUAAACCCUGAUGUAGACGCCGCACUACGAGAGUUCCUACGAGAGAACUGGGACAUUUUUGCCUGGCACCCUUCAGACAUGCCAGGAAUCCCACGCAGGCUGGCCGAGCACAGCUUAAAUAUCCUAAAAGAAUUCAAACCUAUCAAACAAGCUCUUCGGCAUUUAUCCGAACCUAAGAGACAGGCCAUGGGAGAGGAGCUAGCAAAGCUAUUGGAGGCCGGAUUCAUCAGAGAUAUAAAACAUCCGGACUGGCUAGCAAACCUGGUGAUGGUACCAAAGAAGGACAAAUCCUGGCGCCUGUGCGUUGAUUUUAAAGACCUUAACAAGGCUUGCCCAAAGGAUCCCUUCCCCCUCCCCCGCAUUGAUCAAAUUAUCGAUGCUACUGCAGGACACGAUUCAUUGUGUUUCCUCGACGCAUAUUCUGGCUACCAUCAAAUCAAGAUGGCAGAAUCAGACCAAGCCGCAACGGCAUUUAUCACACCAUACGGCCCAUUCUGCUUCAACACAAUGCCCUUCGGGCUAAAAAAUGUUGGCGCAACAUAUCAGGGCAUGAUUCAGACAUGCCUGGCAAACCAGAUCGGCAAAACAGUGGAGGCAUAUGUAAAUGAUGUGGUCGUCACAACAAGACAUGUCGAAUCUCUAGUAGAAGACUUGAGGCUCACAUUUGAUAACCUCCGAACAUACGACAUCAAGCUCAACCCGGAAAAAUGCGUUUUCGGCAUUCCAGCCAGAAAGCUCUUGGGCUUCAUUGUAUCCGGUAGAGGAAUUGAAGCAAAUCCAGCCGAGACCCGAGCUCUGUUGCAACUGGAUAUCCCAAAGGACCUCAAACACAAAGUUAACCGGAUGCGUGGUGGCUCUAAGCCGCUUUAUCUCCCACUUGGGAGAAAAGGCCCUACCCCUUUACCGCCUCCUUCGGCGCACCGAACACUUCGAAUGGACGGAUGCAGCCACGGCCGGACUCGACGAAAUAAAAGCCAUAUUGGCAACAAACCCAGUCCUAGCUGUGCCAAACAUUGGCGAACCAAUGCUAUUGUACAUUGCAGCAACACAUCAGGUUGUAAGUGCAGUGCUCUUCGUCGAGCGAGAAACGGACAUACACAAAUCCCCCCUUCAAAAGCCGGUCUAUUAUGUGUCAACUGUUCUCACUCUGUGCAAAUCACGGUACCUGCAUUAUCAAAAGAUUGCUUACGCGGUAUUCAUGGCAUCCCGGAAGCUACGACACUACUUUCAAGAGUGUUCAAUAAAAGUAGCCUCGGAAGUACCACUUAACGAUAUUAUAAAAAACCAUGACGCAAUGGGCCGAAUUGCAAAAUGGGCCAUUGAGCUCCUCCCGUUCGACAUAACUUAUAUGCCACGGCGAGCCAUCAAGUCGCAAGUCUUGGCCGACUUCGUCACAGAAUGGACGGAGGCCGAACUCCCUAAAGAGUACGACACAUAUUCAAAUUGGAUCAUGCAUUUCGACGGCUCCAAGAUGUUAGCCGGAUUAGGGGUUGGCGUCGUUUUGACGUCCCCCACAGGAGACAUAGUUCAAUACGUACUCCAGAUUAUGUACACAGACUCCAACAAUGCAGCCGAAUAUGAGGCCCUUUUACAUGGUCUCCGGAUGGCAGUAUCCAUGGGCAUUCAACGCCUAGAGGUGCACGGGGACUCGAAGCUCGCAAUAUCCCAAAUAAAUGGAGACUUCGAUGCCAAGGAUCCAAAAAUGGCAGCUUACCGCAAAGCCGUCCUAAAAAUGUCAGCUCGGUUUGAAGGGCUUGAAUUUCACCAUAUAGCAAAGGAAAAUAAUCAGGUGGCAGAUGUCCUGGCACGCAUCGGCACAAAACACGAUAUAGUCCACCCCAACAUCUUCUUGGAAAGGUUGUUCAAGCCAUCCGUAGUAUGGGAAGGGGAGCCGAACAAUAACAGCCCGGACCCAACCGCACUGCCCGACACCGAACAUUCUGACACAAUCGGAAGCUCUGCCAAUGAAAUAACACCUUCAGCCCAUGUAAUAAUGGCCGUCAUCGCCCCAUGGACAGAACCAUUCCUCGCCUACCUUACUAGGCAGGAAUUCCCCGAGGACCAAAAUGAGGCACGCUGUAUAGUGCGGCGAUCCAAAGCCUACAAAGUCCACGAGUGAGAGCUUUAUAAGAAAAGCACUACCGGAGUCCUUCAAAGGUGCAUCUCCGAAGAGGAAGGGCGGAACCUCCUGGCUGAAAUUCAUGCCAGACUCGGCGGUCAUCAUGCUGCAGCUCGGUCCCUUGUAAGCAAGGCCUUCCGUACAGGCUUUUAUUGGCCGACGGCCCGGGCAGACGCCCAGGACUUAGUCCAACGAUGCGUCGGUUGCCAGCUCUUUGCAAACCAAAGCCAUAUGCCACCCACCGCCCUCCAAACUAUCCCCAUCACUUGGCCCUUCACUGUCUGGGGGCUUUACAUGGUUGGACCCCUUAAAGGUGGAACCCACAAGCAAAAAUACUUACUGGUCAUGGUGGAUAAGUUCACCAAAUGGAUAGAAGCCAAGCCUGUUAAGACGGCCGAAUCCGGAUCGGUGAUAGACUUUAUAUCCGGGGUUGUACACCGUUACGGCGUCCCCCACAACAUCAUCACUGAUAAUGGCACGAACUUCACGGCUGACGAGGUAAAACUCUGGUGCAAACACAUGGGCAUCAAGCUCGAUUAUGCUUCCGUCUAUCACCCACAAACUAACGGCCAGGUCGAACGUGCACAUGGUCUUAUCAUGAGCGGCAUCAAACCCAGAUUAGUGCGGUCCCUCAAGGAAUCUAACACGCACUGGGUAGAGGAGCUCGACUCCUUACUCUGGGGGCUGCGGACCACGCCGAAUCGCACCACCGGAUACACACCAUUCUUUAUGGUGUACGGCACAGAGGCAGUUUUGCCUUGCGACGUAAUCCAUGACUCACCUCGAGUGCGCAUGUACGAAGAAAGAGAAGCCGAGCUCGAUCAGCAGGACAGUUUGGAUGCAUUGGAGGAGGAGCAUGACGUGGCAAAAGCCCGUUCCGCAUUCUAUCAACAGCAGGCUCGAAGAUACCAAAGCAGAGAAGUACGGCCCAAAAAUUACAACGUUGGCGAAUUAGUUCUACGCCUGCCGGACAAGAAAAAGGACAAACUCAAGCCCAAGUGGGAAGGUCCCUUCAUAAUUGACCAAGUCCUGACUGGUGGAGCGUACCGCUUGUGAGAUGCAUCGGAUAACCGACUCGAGCCGAACCCAUGGAACGCAGCCCGUCUCUGAAGAUUCUAUGCCUAGCGCCGGACUCUGUGUUCGUCUCCUUCCUCUAUCCAUUUUUUAUAUACUGUCUGUCUUACAUUUCUCUUCUUAUCCCCUUCCUUUCUCUUAUAGCCUUUAAAGGCUCAUCAAAUGAUGUGCUAUUCACACUCAUUAAACCUGGGGGCUUCUUUUAACAAAAGCUUAUUUAUACGGGCUUCAUGCCCAACACAUGUGUUACGCUUCCGCAUGUACCUUUUAUUUCACCAUUAUAUGCAUCGAUAUGACUUAAGUUUUGGCCAAGCUGGGUUGCCUGGCUCCUGUGCUUACCCCUACGUUCCCGAUUAUUCGGCUAGGCGGUAAAGGGAGCACCUCUGCGAUUGUUACUACCGGAUCAGCCGGAUGUGUACCUCAGACUGGGUGAAGCCGAAAGCUAGCAUUCUUAAGUGAAUAUUCGGUCGGUGACCUAAAAGAUGAUCUUUUCACUUAUCUAUUUAUGCGCCCCCAGAUGCUUUUUCCCGCGUCUUUUUCGUAGAAUGGGCAUGCACUUUAGGGCAUGCCUCCCAGGGAAAGGAACCCCUAACGGAACUAUUCUCCCUGGAAGAUGUUUCUUACUAACCAUGUAAUAUAACAUAACUAGUCAAGCACUUGUCUGUUCACGCACUAAUGACCCCUACGCCUGGUCUCCAUGCAUUCCCCGGUUCUUAUAUAACCGCAUGGGAAUUCGGACACACUCCGGACCGUCAGGUCCCAAGGCUGAAGCGAAAAGGUAGGCCAUGACAAACGAUCUACAAUCCGGCUAGAAGGCAUUAUAAAUGUCAAUUAAAUUACAUGGUCAUUCUGACUGAUUGUAUUCCUCUUCAAUACCAUCUAAUAGGCUGUCUAAUUUACAGUCCUGCUGGGAAUACUUUGCGGCCAAUUCUACUUGGCCGUAUACUAAGCUUACAGGGAUCUCCUUCCCAUCGAGCCCCACAGGACCGACCUCGGCCAUGUGGUUGGGGUCAGCCUUUGUGUACCGAGUCUUCACCAUGGCCCAGGCCUCCCUAGAGCCUUGACGGCAGGCUGAUAUCUUCCACAAUCAGAAGCGCCGCCGUGCUCCCUUUAGCUUCUCUGCAAGCUCUCCAAGACCUUCGGGCAUGGAGAUGGAUGGCCACAAGGCCUGGGCGACGCCUUGCAUCGCCUGCCGAACUCGCUCGAGCAGUUGCGAGAGCUCGGGAAGAAGGUCACCCGUCGAACCGGGCAUCUCCUCUGCAGGAUGACCUGUUAGCACACCUACAGACAUUACUCUGUUAGUCGACUUCCCCGCCGAACUUUUUUUCAAAGGUUCGAUCAAGCACUUACUAAAUAUGCCGCGCCGAAGCCGCUGAUUCUCCUUAACGGAGUCUGACAGCUGGGCACGAGCAUCUUUCAGGUCGAUGCCCAGCUUGGUGUUGGCAUCUUGGAGAUCGUUCUUCUCCCGCCUCACCUUUGUCAGCACCUUCUCACCAGCCUUCAGCUGGCGUAGGAGGUGUUGCCUUUCCGGAUUCAAUCCGGCGCCAUCUGCAAUUUCAUUUGUCAGAUUCGCACCCAUGUUGUGCUUCGCAAAAUACUUAUCUUUCGAAGUGUAUAUUACCAGAUGGGGUCUCCUUGGGCUCCCCUACCGCGGCUAGUGCGGCCUCAAGUUGGGCUUUGCACUCUUCCAGCUCCUGGGAUAGUAGGGAAUUCUUUUGUGUAAGAACCUGCAUAAUAAAUGAUCCUUAAAUCAGUUAUUCUAACUAUUUCAAGUCUCGGGGGCUACUGGUAUAUAUAUAUAUAUAUAAUUACCAAAAUUUUCUUACCCGUAUGUCUUUUACAUAUUGCUCCGUGGCUCUGGCUAGACCAUUUUGAGCGGCACAGAGGUACACAUCUCCCGAAUUGAAGGCAUCUAAUGCCUCUUGGGAGAAACAAGCGUCACGAAGAAUUGUCCGGCGACGCCUGUGGUUCAUGGCACUCUCCACCUCAGAGUUGGUGGCAGACAACCUGUCCACACCCUCCGUCGGAGGAGCGUCCGAUGCACGCCUUGUGUUCGCCUCCACCUCCGGACAAGGCUUUGGAGCCUGGCUGGUGGAGGCGCAAUUGGCAGCCUCUCCGGAUAUAGUCCGGCGAGGUCUCUUUGUCCUGAAGAGAGCACGAGUGUUAAUAUGCCUUGAAGGUGUAACACCUGGGAUAAGGGGGCGCGCCAUACCUUUGUGCUGACGCCUCGGUCCGUACUGCACCUCUUUUCUGCCCACGGGGCCCUGCGGCCCCUCGUUGGCUUGUCGCCGCAGGUUCGGCCUCCCGUCUCAAAAACCUCCCCUGCAAAGCUCGGUUGUAAUCAGGAAACUAAAAACACGAGAGGGCGGACUCCUAUUCGGGGUACGGGGACUUCGAUCUCAGUUACUUGGGAGGCCAGGAUUAGUCCUGGGUAAUCGGCCGUAAUGGCCACCAAGGCGUUGUCCUUGCUCAAUUGAUGGAACACUCCAUCAAUCAGCUCCACAGAUAAGUCCGGAUCCUCUUGAGAGGCCGGGUCGAGGGACCAUCCUGGGUCCUCGGGUUGUGGAGGAGGGCUGUUUAUUUCUUUAACAGCCUGGCGCAGUUCCUGCAUUAAAGUCGUUAGACUGAAUAUUUAACAAUGGGAAUAUAAAACGGAUGGGCAAGUAAACCACUUCCCCGGCUUGGGGGAUUGUACAUAGAAAAUCCACCCUGUGGGUUGACACGGAGAAAUUCCUCCUCUUCUCCCUUGUACAAAGCGGACAAGGUCUUUGUUAGGGCCGCAGCCGAAUCCGGUCCCUUACGGCCGUAGCGGGUGGCGUCGUCCUCCCCGUUGAAAUCCCACAUGGGGUGGCCUCUGUACUGUAGCGGCUGCACCCCUCGCAUGAUGCAUGCGGCCAUGACCCCGAUCAUGGUCAGUCCGGAAUGAGCUAACAAUCUUAUCCAGCCCAUCAGGUAACGGACGUCCUUGUCACUUUCCCUCUGAGGGCUCCGUGGACGCCAACUUAGGCGCUUCUUUAGUGGAGCACUGUCGAACUCAGGGAGGCUGAUCCGGACAGGAUCUAGCAGCGGGACGUCCUCUAUGUAAAACCAUUCCGAAGGCCAGUCCUCGGACGCCAUCUUUGGGGUUCCGGAUAGAUAUCCGGUCCCGGCGAUGCGCCACACUUCGGCUCCGCCCACUUGAUAUAUUGACCCCUUCUGAGAACGGGGCACAAGGCAGAAUAGCUCUUUCCACAGCCCUAAAUGAACCUCAACACCCAAAAAUAGCUCACAGAGGGCUAUGAAGCCCGCGAUAUGCAAUACGGAGGCAGGCGUGAGAUUGUGUAGCUGGAGGCCAUAGAACUCCAGGAGCCCCCGGAGAAACGGAUGGAUUGGAAAUCCGAGCCCUCUUAUUAAAUAAGGGACGAGGCAUACCCGCUCUCCUUUGGAGGGAUUAGGGGCACUCUCUGCUUGCUCUCCGCCAUUAUAGAUGGCAAGACCGGAUCGAACCAGGACCAUAUAGGCCGGGGGAGAAAUCCCUUGGUCUGGAGCGUCACUAGCUUGCUAUGCGGGAUGGAGCCUCUCUCCCAAUAUCCAGGCUGAGGGCUGGAAGGGCGAAAGGAGGAGUUGUGACGGCUGGCCAUGGUGGUAUGGACCUUUGUCGGAUGCGCUCUGAUGAACACUCGCGAAGGGGAGAAGGUGUGGUUUGGAUCUAAAUCCUCGUCCCCUUAAAUGGGCGGCUCAUUUACGCGGCUAGGGGUGUGGAUGUAAAAACACUCAGACUUUUCAUAUUCGUUUGACACGUGGGAGACGGCCAUUAUUGGGCGUAGAAGCCGAGGAGCGCAACAUUUACAAGAAACCGGACUUUAUUCAACAGGUACACAGAAUUUGGAGGAGAACCCUCCUUGCAAUGCCGAAGAUAAUCUGCGCAUCAGACUCAUCGUCAUUGAAGCCUGGUUCGGGGGCUACUGAGGGAGUCCUGGAUUAGGGGGUGUCCGGAUGGCCGGACUAUACCUUCAGCCGGACUCCUGGACUAUGGAGAUACAAGAUUGAAGACUUCGUCCCUUGUCCGGAAGGGACUUUCCUUGGCGUGGAAGGCAAGCUUGGCGAUACGAAUAUGUAGAUCUCUUACCAUUGUAACCGACUUUGUGUAACCCUAACCCUCUCCGGUGUCUAUAUAAACCAGAGGGUUUUAGUCCGUAGGACGACAUACAAAACAACAAUCAUACCAUAGGCUAGCUUCUAGGGUUUAGCCUCUCUGAUCUCGUGGUAGAUCUACUCUUGUACUACCCAUAUCAUCAAUAUUAAUCAAGCAGGACGUAGGGUUUUACCUCCAUCAAGUGGGACCGAACCUGGGUAAAACUUCGUGUCCCUUGCCUCCUGUUACCAUCCGGCCUAGACGCACAGUUCGGGACCCCCUACCCGAGAUCCGCCGGUUUUGACACCGACAAUGGCGUUUUACUAUAGAGAUCUAAAGGCCUAGGGCCCAAAGGCGGAUUAGGGCCCGUAGAAUAAACCGCCAUAUGGUGUGUAACUUGUGAUGUAAGAUAGGAAAGGGUAGAGACCGAGCCGGACACGUUUAUGAGUCGGCCGGGAUUCUGCAAACCACCGGGCGUCAACCUGUGUAUAUAAAUGGACGACCCGGCGGCGGUUCAAGGACAGAAAAAACAACAACUCGAGAGCCAGGCAUAGCGUAUUCGCUCCCUGGUCAUCGAAACCCUAGAAAUCCCAUCACAACUGGAGUAGGCUUUUACCUUCACCGCAAGGGGCCGAACCAGUAUAACUCCUUGUGUCCUUUGUCUGCUUUAACCCCUUUAAGCUAACUACGUUGCAAUGGAUCCAUGACUAAGUCCUCACACUAGGACAUCUACCGUGAAAAAACCACGACAAUGCCCAUACCCGAUACUCAGUUCUCCUUUGGUGGUAGUGAUGAUGGAGUUGUUGAUGGCGUAGUCUUGUCGUCCAACAUCGAGCGUAGGAGGUGCUCCAACGUACAAACAAUGCCCUUAAGUGUGGUGAUAUUCUCUUGCAACAGAAUAUUUUCACGAGUUAGAUACUUGUUCUGCACCCGAACUAUUUCAAUCUUCUCGAAAGCAUCAGUUUCAGUAGGGGUAAGAAGAUUGUAAUGAGGUUGAAGUAUGUCUUCUUCUUCUGCUACCGGAGCUUGAUCCUCCGUGGCCUCAUUGAUCCUAUCAUCCUUGUUGAUCUCCCCGGGUUCUUUUCUCUUCAGAUCUAUCUUCAUUAGCCAAGCAUCAUCGCCCUCAUUGUUGGAGGAGGGGGACGACAUGAUGCCUGGCCUUGACAAUUCUGGCAGAAAAUAGCUUGAAACAAAAGCAGAGGAUAUUUGCGUUGUAUGGUGGUCAAAACCUUCAGGAGGUUAUAUAAUGAAUUUUUACCGACCAAAAGAAGUAUCGUGCAAGAAAACAGAGUCUGGAGGGCACACGAGGUGUCCACGAGGGCGCGCCCAGGGGGUAAGGCGCGCUCUCCACCCUCGUGGACACCUUGUGUCCUUCCCGGACUACUUCUUAUUUUCCUAUUUUCUUAAAUAUUCCAAAACGGAGAAAAAAUGCUAUUAGAACUAUUUUGGAGUCGGUUUACUUACCGUACCACAUGCCUAUUCCUUUUUGGAGUAUGAAACGUUCUGGAAGGUGUCCCUUAUGUACUCCUCCGGGGUUACGGUUUCAAUAACAUUGGUUUCAACAUUUAUGGGAUUACCUGAGAUAUAAUGUUUGAUUCUUUGACCGUUCACCACCUUCGGGUUUGUGCCUUCGAAGUUGUUGAUUUUUAUAGCACCGGAAUGAUAUACCUCCUCGAUAACGUAAGGACCCUCCCAUUUAUAGAGGAGUUUUCUUGUAAAAAAAUCUUAAAUGAGAGUUGUAUAGCAAAACAUAACCACCUACAUUAAACUCACAUUUUUGUAUCCUUCUGUCAUGCCAUCUUUUAACUUUUUCUUUAAAUAGUUUGGCAUUCUCAUAGGCCUGGGUUCUCCACUCAUGAAGUGAGCUAAUGUCAAAUAGUCUCUUCUCACCGGCAAGUUUGAAAUCAUAAUUGAUCUCUUUAAUGGACCAAUAUGCCUUAUGUUCUAGUUCGAGAGGUAAGUGACAUGCUUUUCCAUGAACCAUCUUAUACGGAGACGUACCCAUAGGAUUUUUAUAUGCAGUUCUAUAGGCCCAUAAUGCAUCAUCAAGUUUCUUGGACCAAUUCUUUCUAGACCUAUUAACAGUCUUUUGCAAAAUUAAUUUAAGCUCUCUAUUACUCAGUUCUACUUGACCACUAGACUAUGGGUGGUAUGGAGAUGCAAUUCUAUGAUUAACGUCAUACUUAGCAAGCAUCUUACGAAAAGCACCAUGAAUAAAAUGUGAACCGCCAUCAGUCAUUAAAUAUCUAGGGACUCCAAACCUCAGAAAAAUAACUUCUUUAACCAUCUUAAUAGAGGUGUUGUGAUCAGCACUACUAGUUGGAAUAGCUUCUACCCACUUAGUGAUGUAAUCAACAACAACUAAAAUAUGUGUAUACCCAUUAGAGGAAGGAAACGGUCCCAUAUAAUCAAAGCCCCAAACAUCAAAUGGUUCAAUAACAAAUGAAUAUUUCAUAGGCAUUUCUUGACGUCUACUAAUAUUACCAAUUCAUUGACAUUCAUCACAAGACAAGACAAACUUACAGGCAUCCUUGAAGAGAGUAGGCCAAUAAAAACCGGAUUGCAAUACCUUAUGUGCAGUUCUAUCUCCAGCGUGCUGUCCCCCAUAAGCCUCGGAGUGACACUUGCGUAGGAUCUAUUCCUGUUCAUGCUCAGGUACACAACGUCUAAUAACACCAUCUACUCCUUUAUAAAGGUGUGGGUCAUCCUAGAAGUAAUGUCUUAAGUCAUAGAAAAAUGUUUUCUUUUGCUGGUAUGUGAAACUAGGUGGUAUAAAUUUAGCAACAAUGUAAUUAGCAUAAUCAGCAUACAAUGGAGCAGUAUGAGAAGCAUUUAUGACAGCUAAUUGUUCAUCAGGAAAGCUAUCAUCUAUAGGCAGUGGGUCAUCAAGAACAUUUUCUAACCUAGACAAGUUGUCUGCAAUGGGGUUCUCAGCUCCCUUUCUAUCAAUAAUAUGUAAAUCAAAUUCUUGUAGUAGGAGAACCCAUAUAAUGAGUCUACAUUUAGCAUCUUUAUUUUCCAUAAGAUAUUUAAUAGUAGCAUGAUUAGUGUGAACAGUUACUUUAGAAUCGAUAAUAUAAGGUUGGAACUUAUCACAAGCAAAUACAACUGCUAAAAAUUCUUUUUUAGUAGUAGCAUAAUUUCUCUGGGCACUGUCUAGAGUUUUACUAGCAUAUUGGAUAACAUUUAAUUUCUUAUCAACUCUUUGUCCUAGAACAACACCUACAGCAUAAUCACUAGCAUCACACAUAAUUUCAAAGGGUAAAUUCCAAUCAUGUGGCUGAACAAUAGGUGCAGAAAUCAAGGCUUUCUUAAGUAUUUCAAAUGCUUCUACACAAUCAUCAUCAAAGACAAAAGGAACAUCUUUUUGUAAAAUAUUAGUCAGAGGCCUAGAAAUUUUUGAGAAGUCUUUAAUGAACCUCCUAUUAAAACCGGCAUGACCAAGGAAACUUCUUAUACCUUUAAUGUCCUUAGGACACUGCAUCUUUUCAAUAGCAUCAACUUUAGCUUUAUCAACUUCAAUACCUCUUUCAGAAACUUUAUGCCCCAAGACAAUACCUUCAUUAACCAUAAAGUGGCACUUCUCCCAAUUCAAGACAAGAUUAGUUUCUUCACAUCUUUGCAAAACUCGAUCAAGGUUGCUUAAGCAAUCAUCAAAAGAAGUUCCGUAAACGGAGAAAUCAUCCAUAAAAACCUCAACAAUCUUUUCACAGAAGUCAGAGAAUAUAGCAGUCAUACAUCUUUGAAAGGUAGCAGGUGCAUUACAUAAAUAGAUAGGCAUACGUCUAUAAGCACAGGUACCGAAAGGGCAAGUAAAAGUGGUCCUUUCCUGAUCCUCUUUUGACACAGGUAUUUGAGAGAAACCAGAAUAACCAUCUAGAAAGCAAAAAUGCGUAUGUUUGGAUAAUAUUUCUAGCAUUUGAUCAAUCAAAGGUAAAGGGUAAUGAUCUUUUCUAGUAGAUAUAUUCAAUUUGCAGAAAUCAAUUACCAUUCUGUAACUUGUAACAAUUCUUUGUGGGAUCAAUUCAUCUUUAUCAUUAGGAACAACAGUAAUACCUCUCUUCUUAAGGACACAAUGGACAAGACUUACCCACUGACUAUCAGCAACAUGAUAAAUUAUACCUACCUCUAGAAGCUUUAGUAUUUCGUUUCUUACCACUUCUUUCAUCUUAGGAUUUAGCCGCCGUUGGUGAUCAACAACCGGUUUAGCGUCUUUCUCCAAUUUUAUUUUGUGCUAGCAUAGAGUGGGACUAAUGCCCUUAAGAUCAUCAAGAGUAUAUCCAAUAGCAGCACUGUGCUUUUUCAGAGUUUUCAAUAAUCUCUCUUCUUCCUGCACUGAAAGGUUAGCACUAAUAAUGACAUGAUAUCUCUUCUUCUCAUCAAGAUAAGCAUAUCUAAUAGUAUCAGGUAAUGGUUUAAGCUCAAACAUGGGUUCACCCUUGGGUGGAGGAGGAUCCCAUAGAAUUUCAACAGGCAAGUUGUGUUUCAAAAUAGGUCGCUUCUUAAAGAAUACUUCAUCUAUUUCCCUUCUUUGAUUCAUAAACAUAUCAUUUUCAUGGUCUAGCAAAUAUUGUUCUAAAGGACCGUUAGGAGGCACGGCAAUAGAAGCAAGAACAAUAAUUUCAUCUUUACUAGGCAAUUCUUUAUCAUGGGGUUGUCUAUGAAAUUUAGCAAAAUUAAAAUCAUGAGAUAUAUCCCCUAAACUAAUAAUGACAACAUCCUUUUUGCAAUCUAUCUUAGCAUUAACAGUAUUCAAGAAGGGUCUACCAAAUAUAAUGGGACAAAAGUCAUCUUGUGGGGAACCAAGAACAAGAAAAUCAGUAGGAUAUUUAACUUUCCCACACAAGACUUCAACAUCUCUAACAAUCCCAACUGGUGAAAUAGUAUCUCUAUUGGCAAGCUUAAUAGCAACAUCAAUAUCUUCUAUCUCAGCAGGUGCAAUAUCAUGCAUAAUUUCUUUGUAUAAGGAAUGAGGUAUUGCACCCGCACUAGCACCCAUAUCACAUAAGCCAUGAUAACAGUGAUCUCCUAUUUUAACAGAAAUAACAGGCAUGCCUACAACAGGUCUAUGUUUAUUUUUAGUAUCGGGUCUAGCAAUUCAAGCAGCUUCAUCACAGAAGUAAAUAACAUGCCCAUCAAUAUUAUCGACCAAGAGAUCUUUAACCAUAGCAAUACUAGGUUCAAUUUUAAUUUGCUCAGGGGGUGUAGGUUUUCUAGUAUUACUCUUACGAACCACAGAUGAAGCUUUAGCAUGAUCCUUUAUUCUAGAAGGGAAAGGUGGUUUCUCAAUAUAAGCGGUAGGAACAACAGGAUCAACAUUAUAAGUGAUAGUCCUUUCUUCAACUUUAAUAGGUUCAACUACUUUUACUUCAAUGGGGGGAUGAUAUUUAAGCCACUUCUCCUUAGGGAGAUCAACAUGAGUAGCAAAUGAUUCACAGAAAGAAUCUACUAUCUCAUAUUCAAGUCCAUAUUUAGUGCUAAAUUCACGAAAAGCAUCGAUAUCCAUAAAAGAUUUAACACAAUCAAACUUAGGUGUUAUACCUGACUCCUUACCUUCGUUGAGUUCCCAAUCUUCAGAGUUGUGUUUAAUUCUUUCCAAUAAAUCCCAUCUGAAUUAAUAGUCUUCAUCAUAAAAGAACCAGUACGAGAAGUAUCAAGCAUGGAGCGAUUAUUGAGAGAAAGCCGAGCAUAAAAAUUUUCAAUAAUAAUUUCUCUUGAGAGCUCAUGAUUGGGGCAUGAAUAUAACAUUGACUUAAGCCUCCCCCAAGCUUGAGUGAUGCUUUCUCCUUUGCAAGGCCAAAAAUUAUGUAUAUAAUUACGAUCACGAUGAACCAGAUGCAUAGGAUAAAACUUCUGAUGAAAUUCCAAUUUCAAUCGGUUGUAGUUCCAUGAUCCAAUAUCAUCACAUAGCAUAAACCAUGUCAAUUCCUUUCCCUUGAAAGAUAAAGGGAAUACCUUCUUCUUGAUAACAUCCUCGGGCAUACCUGCAAGCUUAAAUAAUCCACAAACUUCAUCCACAUAGAUUAGGUGCAAAUAAGGAUGUAAUGUUCCAUCUCCUGUAAAAGGAUUAGCUAGCAGUUUCUGUAUCAUACCCAAAGGAAUUUCAAAGUAAACAUUUUCAGUAGGUUCAGUAGGUUGAGGAGCAACUCUUUGCUCUACUGGUCGGGGUGAAGAUACCCCGAACAAGCCCCACAAAGGAUUACUUUCCAUAGUAACAAGUGACAGUAAAUUUCAGCACACUAUAUAAAUUUUUCCUUACCAAAGGCACUUCAAUCCCCGGAAACAGUGCCAGAAAAGAGUCUUGAUGACCCACAAGUAUAGGGUAUCUAUCGUAGUCCUUUCGAUAAGUAAGAGUGUCGAACCCAAUGAGGAGCAGAAGGAUAUGAUAAGCAGUUUUCAGUAAGGUAUUCUCUGCAAGCACUGAAAUUAUCGGUAAUAGAUAGUUUUGUGAUAAGGUAAUUUGUAAUGGGUAACAAGUAACAAAAAUAAACAAGGUGCAGAAAGGUGGUCCAAUCCUUUUUGUAGCAAAUUACAAGCAUGGACAAACUCUUAUAUAAAGGAAAACGCUCCCGAGGACACAUGGGAAUUAUCAUCAAGCUAGUUUUCAUCAUGCUCAUAUGAUUCGUGUUUGUUACUAUGAUAAUUUGAUAUGUGGGUGGACCGGUGCUUGGGUACUGCCCUUACAUGGACAAGCAUCCCACUUAUGAUUAACCCCUCUUGCAAGUAUCUGCAACUACAAAAAAAGUAUUAAGGUAAACCUAACCAUAGCAUGAAACAUGUGGAUCCAAAUCAGCCCCUUACGAAGCAACGCAUAAACUAGGGUUUAAGCUUCUGUCACUCUAGCAACCCAUCAUCUACUUUAUUACUUCCCAAUGCCUUCCCCUAGGCCCAAAUAAUGGUGAAGUGUCAUGUAGUCGACGUUCACAUAACACCACUAGAGGAAAGACAACAUACAUCUCAUCAAAAUAUCGAACGAAUACCAAAUUCACAUGACUACUUAUAGUUAUAGCAAGACUUCUCCCAUGUCCUCAGGAACAAAAGUAACUACUCACAAAUCAUAUUCAUGUUCAUAAUCAGAGGGGUAUUAAUAUGCAUAAAGGAUCUGAACAUAUGAUCUUUCACCGAAUAAACCGACUAGCAUCAACUACAAGGAGUAAUCAACACUACUAGCAACCCGCAGGUACCAAUCUGAGGUUUUGAGACAAAGAUCAGAUACAAGAGAUGAACUAGGGUUUGAGAGGAGAUGGUGCUGGUGAAGAUGUUGAUGGAGAUUGAACCCCUCCCGAUGAGAGGAUUAACGGUGAUGACGAUGGUGAUGAUUUCCCCCUCCCGAAGGGAUGUUUCCCUCGCAGAACAGCUCCGUCGGAGCCCUAGAUCGGUUCCGCCUCGAGACGGCGGCGCUUCGUCCCGAAAGCUUCCUCUUUAUUUUUUCUAGGGUGAAAGACUUCAUAUAGGAAAAGAUGGGCACCGGAGGCCUGCCAGGGGGCCCACGAGGCAGGGGGCGUGCCCCCACCCUCGUGGACGGUGGGUGGCCUCCCUCUGGUGCUUUCUUCGCCCAAUAUUUUUAUAUAUUCCAAAACUGACUUCCUGGAGUUUCAGGACUUUUGGAAUUGUGCAGAAUAGGUCUAUAAUAUUUGCUCCUUUUCCAGCCCAGAAUUCCAGUUGCCAGCAUUCUCCCUCUUCAUGUAAACCAUGUAAAAUAAGAGAGAAAAUGCAUAAGUAUUGUGACAUAAUGUGUAAUAACAGUCCAUAAUGCAAUAAAUAUUGAUAUAAAAAUAUGAUGCAAAAUGGAAAUAUCAAGAGUCAUAUAUUGGUAGCACUAUUUUGACCUUCAUAUGCAAUGGUCUUAGAUUUUAUUAACCAUUCUCUAACCCGUUUACCUUGUCGAUCUCAUAGCACACGAUCUGUAUAGCUAACUCGACUGCGAUCUUCGACAUUAUUGCACACAGUUGGUUUCUUCAAUCGUGUGCCCUAUAGAGCGCAGAAUUAAUAAUCGCACUCGAGUGUCCAUCAUCACCCUUCUAUGUAACUUUGACAUCAUCACCCACGGGUAAACUUAUGACCAAAGUCUUUCCACACACUUCAUUUUUACAAAGCUUUUUGCCAAUAAACGCCCAUGAUUUGUUCCUCUUCUAGCCGACGUGUGGCCAAACUAGUUGGGAGGGAAGCUUGCGUGAUAAACUAUGCAGUAAACUGCGCGGUAGCGCGGGAACAGGCUCACCGACGAUACAUUUGGCGCCUCUUCAAGCCCACGCGUGGUCAAACAAAACACGUGCGGUGCGGUGUUGUCAAGCAUGCACUAGAAUCUUCUGCUAUGAACAUCAUGACAAGACAUGACGAUUACAGGUCGGCCGGCCCCCAUUUAUUACAGUGGCCAUUUAACCCUUGUGUCUCUUCAACCUUUCGAUCGCGCCCCACCAUUGCAAGAAGCACACCCACCAUGACAAAUUCUUAGAGGGUAUCUUGCACGGCUCCAAUGGCGCUCCAAGCGGUUGCCCAUAACGAGUAGUGAUGUCUGCUUGAACUACGUCGGUAUUUGCCCAAAGAGGAAGGGAUGAUGCAACACAACAACGGUAGGUAUUUCCCUCCGUGAUGAGACCAAGGUUAUCGAACCAGUAGGAGAACCAAGCAACACUACAUAAACAACACCUGCACACAAAUAACAAAUACCCGCAACCCGACGUGUUAAAGGGGUUGUCAAUCCCUUUCGGGUAACGGCGUCAGAAAUUGACAAACGGACGCGAGUAAGUUGUAAUAAUAGAUAGAUCGAACGCCAAAUAAAAUAAAGUGCAGCAAGGUAUUUUUGUAUUUUUGGUUUAGUAGAUAUAAAAAUAAAAGUAAAUAAAAGUAGAUCACAAAGGCAAAUAUAUUAAAGAAGAGAUCCAGGGGCCGUAGAUUUCGCUAGUGGCUUCUCUUGAGAAAAAUAGAAAACAGUGGGUAAACAAAUUACUGUUGAGCAAUUGACAGAACUUCAAAUAAUCGUGACUAUAUCCAGGCAAUGAUCAUUACGUAGGCAACACGUGCAAGAUUAGUAGAACGACUCCUGCCUGCAUCUACUACUAUUACUUCACACAUCGACCAUUAACCAACAUGCAUCUAGUGUAUUAAGUUCAUGGAGAAACGGAGUAAUGCAAUAAGAACGAUGACAUGAUGUAGACAAGAGCUAUUUAUGUAGAAAUAGACCCCAUCUUGUUAUCCUUAAUGGCAAUGAUACAUACGUGUCGGUUCCCCUUCUGUCACUGGGAUCAAGCACCGUAAGAUCGAACCCAUCACAAAGCACCUCUUCCCAUUGCAAGAUAAGUAGAUCAAGUUGGCUAAACAAAACCCAAAUAUCGGAGAAGAAAUAUGAGGCUAUAAGCAAUCAUGCAUAUAAGAGAUCAAAGAAGACUCAAAUAACUUUCAUGGAUAAAAAGAUAGAUAUGAUCAUAAACUCAAAGUUCAUCUGAUCACAACAAACACACCGCAAAAAUAGUUACAUCAUAUGGCUCUCCAAGAGACCAUUGUAUUGAGAAUCAAACGAGAGAGAGGAAGCCAUCUAGAUACUAACAACGGACCCGAAGGUCUAAAAAGAACUACUCAAGCAUCUUCGGAGAGGCACCAAUGGACAUGAUGCACCCCCUCCGAGAUGGUGUCUAGAUUGGAUCUGGUGGCACUACAAGAAAUAUGUCAACUAGUGACCUUCUCUUAGUGACCCCAGCUGAAUUGGUCGUAAAUCCACGGCCAUUUCGCUUGGAAGGGCUCAAACCCUGAAAUUGCUUACACCAAAUGGUCACAAAGCAGACAAGAGGCGCCAAUGACCUUAUUUUAUACCUGAUUACGACCAAUAUAAAUGGUCAUGAGGUUGUGAACGUGGAUGCAUUGGUACUUAUUUCUAUGACUAGGCGCCACCUCAUCAGUUUUGCCUAUGUGUCAUGUCCAUGUGUCAAUUUUUGCCCUAGGUUGUGAAGCAACCUAUAUUUCUGUCGUUCCCAAAAUUCCCAAAAAAUUUGGCAUUCUUUACUAUCCAAAUCAUUACCUCAUGACAAUAUUCAAGUCCAUUUGCCUAGUAAAUCUUCCUCGGUAAAUUUUCAAAGUUUUUGUUCAACUCGAACUGUUGUGAAGGAAGUACUAGCUAGGCAUAUGCUAAUGAGCUGAAUUUUUGCCACAUCUUCUAUAUUCCCAAAUCAUUGCUCUCCACAAAAUUUGAGCCCCAUCUAAUAAUACAUGUGAGUGUGGCUUCAACAUUCAUAUUUCUGUCCAGUGUGGUACGUUGCAAAGCAAGUGACACCUAGGAUCCUCCAUUUGAGCUUCAAAUUUUCCAAUAUAGUGUUCUUAGUAGAUGAUCAUCCUCGGCCAAAACUCAGGCCCAUUGGCCAUGUGCAUUUCCCGUACCACUAAUCAAACACUUGGGGUGCUAAUUCGUGUUUGAGCAUUGUUCGGUCUCCUCGUGAGAUUCUUUAGUUGUUAUUUUCUUCCAAGCAUCUACCUGGGGAGUGCCAAACCUACUAGACAUGCCUAGGCUUCCCAGAACGCAUGGCAACGCCACGGUCACGCAGUGACCACGCGGUGGGCAUGCGAGUCUACGCGCUUUGGAGUUGGGGCCCUCGGCCACCGUCCAAACCUUAACGUAUCACCACCAAACCAUGUAUUUAUGCUUAAAUAUAUACUUAUGUACCUAGAAAUGAUUUUUGGAAAAAAUAAAUAGCAAACUAUGAGGCAGCUACAGUUCAAAUUUGACCCGCUUCCUACUAAAUCGGCGGGAAUUUGUCUUUUUCACCAGAGAUGGAUCAAAGCUUUUGACACCCAACCAUUUUUCAAUUGUGCAUUAAACAUGGCCUAGUAUUUUAGAAAAAUGAUUUGGUCCAAUUUUGCAACAAAUAUAUGGUAGUUCCUUCACACAAAAAACUCAUUUCGGGCACUCGAAAAAUAGAAAAUGAUUUUUCCAUGCAAAGAAAAUGAAAAAUGCAUUAGGCAACAUUGUUCAGAAUUCCAAGAUGCACCCUUGUGCACAAUAUGAGAUCAUUUGAACAAACUAUGCCAUGAAUGUGGCCAUAAGAUUGAUCAUUUGGCUUGAAAGCCAUGAAUCUUCACGCAUGAUAGCUCAUUUCUGAGAACACUUUUUAAAAAUAAUUGCCGUGUUACAAGUUUAUUGUUUUUCCUGGAAACUUGGUCACAUAUGAUGACACAAUACGAAGGUUUUCCAUUUUUUAUUUUUUUUAUUUUUUAUGCCCGUUUCAAAAUGCGAGCAAAACGACGGGCUUGACCGUUCCUAGCUAGUUGUUGAAUCUUCGAAACCUUUUGUUGUUUAUCUGAUUAAAUAGAUAGUUAUGUACCUAGAAAUGAUUUUUGGAAAAAAUAAAGAGCAAACUAUGAGGCAGCUAGAGUUCAAAUUUGACCCGCUUCCUACUAAAUCGGCGGGAAUUUGUCUUUUUCACCAGAGAUGGAUCAAAGCUUUUGACACCCAACCAUUUUUUCAAUUGUGCAUUAAACAUGGCCUAGUAUUUUAGAAAAAUGAUUUGGUCCAAUUUUGCAACAAAUAUAUGGUAGUUCCUUCACACAAAAAACUCAUUUCGGGCACUCAAAAAAUAGAAAAUGAUUUUUCCAUGCAAAGAAAAUGAAAAAUGCCUUAGGCAACAUUGUUCGGAAUUCCAAGAUGCACCCUUGUGCACAAUAUGAGAUCAUUUGAACAAACUAUACCAUGAAUGUGGCCAUAAGAUUGAUCAUUUGGCUUGAAAGCCAUGAAUCUUCACGCAUGAUAGCUCAUUUCUGAGAACACUUUUUAAAAAUAAUUGCCGUGUUACAAGUUUAUUGUUUUUCCUGGAAACUUGGUCACAUAUGAUGACACAAUGCGAAGGUUUUCCAAUUUUUUUUAAUUUUUUAUGCCCGUUUCAAAAUGCGGGCAAAACGGCAGGCUUGACCGUUCCUAGCUAGUUGUUGAAUCUUGGAAACCUUUUGAUGUUUCUAUGAUAAAAUAGAUAGUUAUGUACCUAGAAAUGAUUUUUUGAAAAAAUAAAGAGCAAACGAUGAGGCGGCUACAGUUCAAAUUUGACCCGCUUCCUACUGAAUCGACGGAAAUUUGUCUUUUUCACCAGAGGUGGAUCAAGGCUUUUGACACCCAACCAUUUGGUCAAUUGUGAAUUAACUAUGGCCUAGUAUUUUAGAAAAAUGAUUCGGUCCAAUUUUGCAGCAAAUAUAUGGUAGUUCCUUCACACAAAAAAACUCAUUUCAGCCACUCGAAAAAUAAUUAAAAAUAGAUAGAAAGAUCAGAAAUGCAUACGAAUUGGUGCUCAUCCAUAAAAUGUGGUCUAACUUGAAUGAAAAUUUGUGUGAUACCAUUUUGCAAAAUAGUUUUGAUAGCUACUUCACAAAAUCCCUCUAUUUUUAGUACUUGAAAACUAUUUUAAAUCACUGAUUUUCUGAACCAAUCAAUACUCUUCCCACGGAUCGAUGACAUGGUGCCCAUCCAUCCAUCCAUCCAUCCAUAUCUCCAUCCAACAUCCAUCCAUCCAUUCAUCUACAGAAAAAAGAAAAGAAAAAGUGAUACCCCCCCCACACACACAGCCCAAACCCUAGAUCAGAUCCCCCCAUCGCACCCCUCUCCCUGCUCCCAAUCUCCCCGCCGCCGCCACCUCCUCCCCGUACCCGCGCCCCUCUCGAUCUCGCCGUCCUCUCCCACCCACCGCCGACUUCGCCGUCCUCCUCACCCACCACCUCCGACCACGUCCCUCCCUCCCCGCAUCUCCGGGCCUUGCAGCGCGCCGCCCCGAUGCCAAGUCCCUCCUCGCCGUUCCUGCGCCGCCGCUGCUCCAAUCCAACCCCGAUUCGAUUCCGGCCGCCGCCACCCUCUCCUCUCCUCUCCUCUACGGACCACUACGAGCGGCAAUGCACGGAGGGCGCUCGGGGGGAGGUAGUGGGGGGCUGCGGAACCCCUGCCUGACGAUGCACCAGUCAUGGGCAUCGCUGCUGGUGCACGGCACCAAGCGCGUGGGGGGCCGCUCCCGGCCGUCACCGGUCAUCGGCUGCCUUGGAUCCACGCCGCCUCCAAGGUGCCCAACCCCGACAUCGUCGCCGCCAUGGAGGACUUCUACCGGGAGAUCUACGCCAUCGACGGGGUCCACCACAUCGACUUCCCACAGCACUACCCCGUCUCCUGCCUCCUCGGUCCGUAUCCAUCGUCUUCCUUGCUAGUUACCGCCGGCGCCGCUGUUCCUCUCAGCUUGCUGAUGCCAUUGCCUAUUAUUGCUUAGGAUGCUUCAAGGUGGUCGGCUGCGUCCGGUCUGCUGGGAGGAUGUGCCUCAAUCAGUAAGACAACCUCAUUCCUCUCCUAUCCAUGGCCUGGAUUUCUACAGCUUGUCAUGUCAUGCCACUCAAAACAUUGGUUAGGACCUGUUCGGAAUAGAGCCUUGUAAAACAGAGGAAAGCAAAAAAGUAGAGGAACGUGAUUAGCAGCUAGUGGAAAAACAGAGGAAUAAAAACAAUGGAAAGAAAUGAAGGUUGCAUGUUUGGUUAUGCAUGGAAACUUUUCCAGCGAGAGAUAUCUUACUAGAAUAUUUUAUAUGGCUUUGCGAGAAUCCACAUGUUAAACCCCCCAAGACCACCGAUUGUAUCUGUCAGUCGCAAUUAGUAUGCUGUCAUUGGUUAGUUUCACAUCCCACCUUGUCAAAAUGCUGCUGAUCAUUGCAUCCACUGUAUGCGCCUGAGACUUUGAUGCCUGCUGUUUUUCUUCUUAAGUUGUCAUUUAGUUCCUGAUUGGUGAUUUUCAUCAGUAAAUUGUUGGUCAUACGAGUCAAGCUUGUGCUCAAUGAAAUGUUAUAUUUUGCUAAGCUUGUUAUUUUCAUACUAAAUGAAUGGUAUUUCAGUAGGAGCAAUAUUAUCUUAUUGUGGAUGACACCACCAUCCUAUCUACAACACUUGCUCUGGCAAUUAGCAGAGAAUGAAUUAAUUUGACAACUUCCAGCGGAUGUUUAUUAUACUAUUGAGUUGAAUUCAUGUACUGCUAGCUACAAGAUUCUAUAGUCUAGAUACAUGAUGCAAAGUAUGUUGUAUUUACACACUUACAUCCAACUGCAGUAGCGGCAUGGGCGAGUUGAGGUGGGGGACAGAGAGGUUGUGUCGUGCGGGUUCUGAUCAAGCUUUAGCAGCACACUUUCUAGUGUUGAUCUGAGCAAAGGAUGAUGCAAGGAUGCUCCUCCUUGUACUGCAUGCCUUCAUUGACUUGAUUCUUUGACAGGGAGAUAUUUAAAGCCUUCACUUGUUCAUUGUGUCAUCUGCUGAUUACUUUUUCUAUUAUUUUCUUGCAAAGCAUGUAAUGGUUUGGAGUAGUUGAUCAUGGCCUGAUGGAACAUUCAUGUUGUUAGAAUGUACAUAUACACACACACACACACACACACACACUAUUACAGCAGCUUGUUGAUCAAGCGCUUCUUUCUAUCUAAAUGUGUGCACAGAAGUUCAGUUACCUUCUAAAAAAUUAUUGGUGCACUAUCUAUCUAUCUAUAUAUACACACUAUUACAGCAGCUUGUUGAUCAAGCGCUUCUUUCUAUCUAUAUAUAUACACUAUCUAAAUUGUUUACAACGGCAUUAUGCACAUGAGGCAGGACUAUACAAGUGAAUUGUCACAGUAAGGUCCUUCCAUGGAUUUCAUGUGGCUCCUUGAGUUGUAAGAUGCAGCUCCAACAUUGAAUAUAUUUUGAAUGUUUCCAAAGAUACUCUCUGUUACGUUUACUUCAAUAUAUACAUGCAUGUUACUGAUAGAAGCUGGCUGCAAGAAUCCGUAUACAUAUAUACUCUCUUGUACAGUACAUUGCUAGAUCACUCACUAGGCAUUAUGUAAUACUACUAGGAGAUAUGGGUGAGGGACUAAAAGGAUGAUACGCUUCCAUGAAUUUAUUUGUAAGAAGUUUUUCUUGGCUAUGUACAAAUCAGCCCAAAUGAAUUUAUGUUCUUUUUUACUUCCAGAGUUAUAGUGCACUCAUAGUGUCAUCACAUUGCGUGUUCUUGCUGCAUAUACCUCUCUAUUUGCUUAGGCAGACAACUACUUAUGUAAUAUGCAAACAACAGCAACAGAGCUAGUGAUGCUAAUUCUACCUCUUGUUACAAAAUCAGAAUUCCUCUUGUUGCACAGGACAACUCCGUUUCCUC
rnacentral:lncRNA from 1 species